rnacentral:lncRNA from 1 species
UUGGCUUUCCUCCUGAACCUUAUCACACCUUUCAUGGGCGAUACUCGAAGGAAUGAUCGCUCUCAAACUCCAAAACUCAAAGGAUGAAGACUACAAGCUACAUAAACCUUCUAUCUACUUAAGUUGGCAUUAGCCUAUCCUGAAUCACCCUGACUCUAUCCAACGACUCCAAAAGUAAGUCAACAUUAUGGGGCCUAACCUACGAGGUCUUGAACCAUCCUAUAAGAUAUCGAUAAUGUAUACCAAAUUCUGCCUCAAAUGGUGCCUUAUCAAUACUUGAAUGGUUGCUACUAUUUUAUACGUGCUCGACCAAGGCUAAGUUCUUCUCCCAUUAUCCUCCAAAAUCUAUAACAUAAUCUUGGAGCAUAUGCUUGAGGACCUGAAUAGUCUGCUUCAAUUACCUAUCUAUCUGAGGAUAAAAUAUUGUGCCAAGAUCUAACUUAGUACCCAAGUCCUCCAAGAAAGCUCUGCAGAAGUUAGAAGUGGAUAUCGCGCCCUAGACUGAAAUAAUAGAUAUAGGUACUCCAUGCAAGCUAACUAUUUCAUAAACAUAGAUACGAGCUAACCUCUUGGCACUGAAGGACAUCUGAAUAAAAAGGAAAUGGGCCAAUUUGGUCAACAAAUCUAGAAUGAACUAAAUGUUAUUUGAACCGCGGGAGGUGCGAGAAUGGGAAAUACCUGAAUCAUGACAUUAGGUGUAUGCUUGACCUUUACUUGCUGAAAAUAUAGCAACAAACUACAAAGUCGGUCACAUCUCUCUUCAUAAAACUCCAUCGAUAAUGCUAUCUCAAAUCCCUAUGUAUCUUAGCUGUCCAAGGGUGAAUGGAGUAUUUGGAGAUGUGAGCCUCACACAAUAUUGAUCGAAUGAAUUCACCAACCCUAAAAUCAUAAAUAUGACCAUCAUAUCUUCGAAUACCCUCAGAAUCCAUGUUAUCCCUCCUAAAUUGACCACUCAGCACGUGAUCACGGAUGAGACAAAGGACCCUAUCCUCAAACUGACAACUCCAAAUCUUCUCAAAUAAGGUAGACCAUGCCUCAACACUUAAAAGUAUCCUCUUGGAGUAUAAAAUAUCAAGUCUCACCAUCAAGUUAGUUAACGACAAAAAGUCAAAUCCAACUACCCAUAUUCAUUGCGUUCAGGCUCAAGGCAUAUAUAACCACAUUUGUCUUGACUAGAUGGUAUAAAAUAGAGAUGUUAUAAUCCUUCAUCAACUCCAUCAAUAUCUGCUGCCUAGAACUAAGUUCCGUCUAAGUCAUAAGGUGUUGAAGACUAUGAUGACCGAUGUAUAUCUCAAAAUUCAUGCCAGAUACAUAAUAAUGCCUCCAAAUGUUAAGCGCAAAAACUACCAUCACCAAAUCCAAGUCAUGAGUGGGGCACUCGUGCACCUUCAUCUUUCUCUAUGCAUAAACAAUAACUCAAUCUUGUUGCAUCAAAACACAACCCAAACCAAUACCAAAAUCAUCAUAAUACUCAAUGAAUCCCUCUGCUGCAGUAUAAAGAGACACUAUAGGAGUUGAAGUGAGAAAUCCCUUGAGCUUCCAAAAUUUUGACUCACACUCCUAAUACCACUUGAAAGGAACCUCCUUCUCGGUUUAUCUAGUUAUCGAUGCUGUAAUAGUAGCAAAAAUCUCAAUGAAACACCUAUAGUAACCAGUCAAACCAGUAAAGUUACGAAUCUUAGAUGAGAUGUAGACCUGGAUGAAUCAUGAAUAGCCUUAAUCUUUGAUGGGUCUACAAUAAUCCCAUCCUUAGACUCCCCAUGCCCUACGAAUAUCACCGACUCAAGCCAAAACUCACACUUUGAGAUUUUGAAAAAAAGCCUAUGAUCUGUCAAAGUCUGGAGCUCAAUCCUUAAAUGAUACAUAUGUUUCUCCAUACUCCUUGAAUACCAAAGGAUGUCAUCAAUGAACACAAUCACAAAAGAGUAUAAAUAAGGUCUCAAUACAUAGUGCAUUAGAUACAUGAAUACAGUUGUCCCAUUAGUCAACCUAAAAGAUAUCACCAAGAACUCAUAAUGGCUAUAUCAAUUUCGGAAGGGUAUCUUUGGGAUGUCCUCAACUUGAAUCCUCAACUGAUGGUAAUUGGAUCUCAAGUAAAUCUUAGAGAAUAAUGUUGAUCCCUAAAUCUAGUAAAAAAGUAUCAAUACGAGGCAUAGGAUAUCUAUUCUUCACGGUCACCGUAUUAAGCUGCCUAUAAUCAAUGAACAUAGGAAAGGAACCAUUCUUUUUCUUCAUAAAAUAGGUAGGAACACCCCAACGUGACUCACUCUGUCUAUGAAACCCUUACCCAGAAGAUCCUGAAGUUGGGAAUUUGUAUUCUUAAGCUCAGAAAGAGCUAUAUGGUAAGAUUUCAUAGAAAUAGGUCAAGUUCUUGACUCAAGAUCAAUAAUAAACUCAAUAUCAUGCUAAAAAAAGACUAGGUAGAUUGGUUGGAAAAACAUCAGGAAAAUAAUGGACUAUAGGAAAAAAGUCAUAUGAGGGACUUUCUAUACUAACACCAUAAAUAUGAGUGAGAUGAGACUUGCAACACUUUGAUAUAAGUCUCUUACCCCAAAACCUAAGAAAUAAUUACCAUCGUCUAGCGGCUAAAAGAUCUCUUCUACAUAACUAGAGGUAUGCUAGGGAUAGCUAAGGUAAUGGUCUUUAAAAAAUGAUACAAGAUUGCAUGAUAGGGGGAUAACCAGUCCAUGCCCCAAAUCAUGUCAAAUUCUACCAUAUCUAAAAGAAUAAGAUCAUCUAGAGUAUCAAACUCUCGAAUAGUCACAACACAUGAUCCAUAAAUCCAAUCUACUACUAAAGAAUCACCCACAGAGUAGAUACUCAUAACGAUAUUGAUAAAGAUUCUCAAUACAACUCUAACUAUAGUUCAUAAUAAAUAGACACAUAAGAACAAGUGGAUCCCAAAUCAAAUAAAGCAAAAGUCAGUUGAUGGCAUACUAAGAUCAUACUUGUAAUAACAAUACUUGAAGAAUCUAUCUUAAGUCUACUAGGUACAAUAUAUAAAUGACCUCACCUAUAACCUACAUAGGUGUAUACCUGAUCUCUUAUCCUACCUACUUAAGGACCUCGAUGAGAACCCAAGGGACCACCCAGACUACCUUAUAUACCUCCUAUACUUAGAGGCAACACUACUUUAAACACUCAAAGCUAUAGGCAUAACUACCCUAUGUAUGGGAUACUCUUUAGAGAAAUGACUAAAGGUCUGACAAUCAUAACAUUCCCAGAAGAUAAACUUUAUCCAAAAGAUCCAACUGACCCAAAAUAGCCACCUCAACUAGAAAACCCAGAAGAUGAUCCUAUUAAAAGCUGACUACUACUCUAGCUAGGAUGAUCACUGUAACUAGUAAGACCUCUAUUAGUAGUUUCAAGUGAGGCAUGACCAGGACUACUAGGCUAACCCUAAAACUAAUAAGACUGGUAUGGUGGUUACUUAUCUUGAGAACUGAUGCUUUUAAACCAAGAGCCACUCUAGCUCCUGCUGAAACUACCCUUUUAACACAGUCUCUUAUCACUGCCCCCUUAGGACUCGUGAUAUAUAUGCUCCAUAGUUUAAGGAUGAUUAGAAACCUCAAUGAAUGAUCUACAAGAAACAACUAAACUCUAUGUAUCCUUGUAAAGAGAAAGUCUCACUCCCUGAACAAAAUAUUAAAUCUUCUCACCUUGAUCAAUAAAAUAGAUAUAGCAUGCCUAGCUAACUUAUCAAAUACAAUGUCAUACUCUAAGAAAUUCAUAGAACCAUGGUCCAAUAUUAAUAAUUUAUCUAUUAGACACUCCCUAAGGCUGCAAGGCAUAUAUUUCUCUAACAAAACCUCAGUAAAUUGAGCCCAUGUCAAUGGGGGAGAUCUACUUGUCUGGAAUUACGAUAACCCCUUCAUAAAUAUCAAGCUGUUAAAUUCAAUUGAAAAGUAUUGUAGGAUAUACCACAAUUCUUAACUAUACCUAUAUUAUAGAGCCUAUCCUUAUAAGAAACCAAUAACUUAUAUCCAUCCUUGCCCGGUGCACCAAAAAACCUAGGUGGAGUUAACCUCAAGAGUCUAUCCAAUAUUUUUUAUUCCUCAACAGACAUGGCAUGCUAGGAAACCACUAGCUAUGAAACUACCGACAUAUAUAGGAGCCACAUCUAUGGGUAAUGUCUCUACCUUGAUAUGAAUUUUAUCUGUAGAUUAGGCAACAUCAGAAGAUGCACUACCAACCAAUCCCAAGAGAUAAAUUAGUGAAAUAAACCCCACUGAAGGUUGGGCUAUCCUUUAGUCCACCACUAGAUUUGUGGAUGAAUCUCUAUGAGAUUGGGGAUAGGGUUUGGUAAAGGUUUCCUAUCCUAAUAUCUAGUUGGGGCUACAUUUUUAACUGAUCCCAACUUUUAGGUUAUCCAUAUACUUCGAUAUGAUAUCUAGUCGUGGACUUGUAAUUCGUAUCUCUAAUAGCAAUAUAGCAUGUCCUAUUCAUCUACAAAAGAAUAAAAAUAAACAAAUCUUAGAAACCAACUAGACUCUUAGCACAAAAUGAGUGAAAGAAGUGAAUAUCUUCUACAAAUGUCCUAUAGCAUCAUUUUGAUUUGUGGGAAUCUACUAGUAACUUGCUCUUGUGCCUAUAAUACUGGUGAACAUGGGCUCUAGUACUGAUUUGUAAUGACCUAAUUUCUUGAGUCAUGGUGGCACAAACUUUAUCCCACCUAUAGGUAAGCCAAAUCAUAGCCCAAAAUAAUGAGUAAUAGGUUAAUUAGUGGAAAAAGGCAUAAAUUCUAGAAAUAUACAAAUAAAUUAAUUACAAGAAAUAAAUACUAAGAACAACAACAUAAAGGAAGUGAAACAAAAGAGGAGUAAUAUCAGCCUAUGACCUAAUAAUGUUGGUACAAAAAUCUCUAAUCCAAAAGAAUAUGAGUACUAUCAAAGUCAAUAUAUUAAUUGUCUAAAAAAUAAAGACUCUCCAUAAAUAGAAGAUGGUAAAAUGUUUAACUCCAACUCUAAGAGAUUACCCCAUCUUCAAACUCUGACUAGCACAAUUGCAGAGUCAAUGGCGAUAGCUAGUACUCAGAUCUACACCAAAAAGGUAUAGAAAGGUAGUAUGAGCAUCAAAGUCAUGGGCUCUCAUUAGGUAUCAUUGAUCUAAGCUAAAAAAUAAUAUAAAUAUAAUAAAAUGUGAGAUAAGUAAGCUAAGUCAAAGAAAAAGGGGAAAACCUGGAAUAAAGCUCCAAGUAAUAAAAGUAAAGAACCAAAAUAAUAAUAAUAAUAAUAAUAAUAAUGAGAACACAACUAAUUCUAACAUAACUAGGACACUAUAUGUCCAGAAAAUGCAGAUAAAGUAACCUACCCAAUACGGGACCUCAUAAGAACGGUGGAUGAAAUCAAGAAGUAAUAACCAUAAUUACACUGACUGUUCAUAUCUCAAAACUAUAACUAUGGCAUUUAUAAACUGUAAACACUGGACUCUAAUCAGCCUCAUAACCAUCAUAAAUAACCUCUCAAUGCCAGACUUGAACUAGAAGAAGUAUUUCAUAUAUUGUACUUGAACCAAAAAUAAUAUCAUAAAUACCAUACUUAAAUCAGAAGUAUACUGUCAAUAAUGCCAGAACUAAACCAGUUAAUAUUAUAAAUUGUCAGACUUGAACAGAUAUUAACAUCUCCCAAGCACCAAUCUAGAAUCAAGCACCAUAUAUAUAAAACAUUUUGUGGUCUUAAAAAAUAUAAUUAGAAUACGGUAUAAAGUACUAUAGAUAUAGAAGGACUCCCACUUCUAUAAUACCCCGUAAGAUCUUGAGCUCGAUUUAUAUCUUAGUUGCAUGUUUAAGGGGUCCAAGUCUUGAAAUUUUCCUAAGUGUUGAGGACUUAGUCAUUUUCAAGAUCCAUAAAAUUUUUUGAUGUUUAGAUUGGCAUUCCCAACCCCAAAACAUUUGUUUUUAAGUUGAUUCAUGGUAAAGAAGGUUAAAAGUAUAUUUCGGGUGAGUUUUGAGAUUUUUGGAUGAGUUUCGGUACGUGUUUGGACAGCCAAAAUAGUAAAGCAAUGUGAUUAGUCCAUGACGUGUUUCUCUCUCCUAUGGAGAGGAGAUCUACAAUGCAUUGGUCUCUCCCCUAGAGUAAGCUACGCGGUUUGUUGCUCUCUCCCAUGGAGAGAGAGAUAUGAUGCAUGGAUCUAUCCCAUAUAGUGUGAUUGUUUAAGUGCCCAAGAGGUAUUCGGGUUAUUUUCCCUUAUCCUAUUUGAUCUAUAACAUGAAUUGGGUCUUUCAAAAGGGAUAUUUCCCAAGAAAUCCCUCCUUUCUCCUCAUGAACAAAUUCAAGGUUCAUUCUCAAGAAAUCAAGAGUACAAGCUUUCAAUCCAAGAAAUCUUCAAGAAUUUAGUUGUUAAAGUAUGUGGGAUGUUCAUCCAUGGGUCCUUUCACCCAUGGAGCCCAAAAACCUUAUUUUCAACUAAAGUAUGGGUUUUUCUCUUAUUACAAAGUUUUUUAAUUUCAAGAUGGACUAAAUUUAUGUGUUUACUCAGAAGUUUGACUCAAUUCAUGUUCAUGAAUGAUUUCAUACAAAAUUAGGUUAACCCAUGCUUUAAGUUUCAAUCUCCCAUGUUAUAUUCAAGUGAAUCUUAUGUUACAUUAUCAAGUUAUGUUCUUAGUCACAUAACCAUGCUAUUUUCCCAUGUUUUAAGACAUUCACUUGUUCAAGUUCAUGUCUUUCACAUGCUUGGUAAAAUUUCACUAUUUUGGGUCUGUGAACCAUGAUCCCAUACUAUAGUUUUUCAGCUUUGUUAUCGUAUUUUAUGGUCAUUCAGUGUUGGUGGGUUCUGAACACCUGAUCCCUAUGUGUUUACUUUUGCUUUAGAUAUUUCAAGCAAUAAUUUAGUUAAACCAUGAAUCUUAUUAAAUACUCUAAUAUUUAUGAUCAUAAUGAGAACUAUCAGUUAUUUAAAAAUAUUUAGUUAAGCUUAGUUCAGUAUCCAUAUUAGUUCAGUUGGGAGUAGGAUUUAGCACCGAGCGAACCUAGGGAUGGGGGCUCACCUGCCAGUAGAGGGUGUGGCCUUUAGUAUCCAUACCUAAGUUCCAAUGCUACUUAGCCAACAUAGGUUUGAGAUAUCUUUCUUCCAGUUAAGGGUCUACAUAUAUCUCAAGAGAGCACCUACCAAUAUAGGGUGACUCUUUAGUCUUUUGGGACACCAGUUUAGUAAAUUCACAUAUCUAGUGUUAAUACUUGUGGCACAGUACUUACACCCUUCCAACUGGGGUUACUGGUUGGACCCCAAUUAUCUCAUAUCAAGGCAUGUCGAUUAUAUGACCAAGUGUACAAAUUUUCUAGUCACAGUAUCUCAGAAAAUUAUUUCAGUUGAUCUUGUGGAGUUAGAGAUGACUAAUUUUGAUUUCAUUCUUGGCAUGGAUUGGCUUUACACAUUCUAUGUCUUUAGGAUGAAAUAUUUAUCUAAGAGGCCCUUCAAUUGCUUCUUAAGAUUUUUUAGCUCUGUCGGAGCCAUUUGAUAAAAAGGGCUGGAAAUGGUACGAGUGUCCAAAACAAGAUCAAUCCAAAAAUUAAUUUCCCUAUUAGAAGGAACACCAAGAAGAUCGUCGAGAAAUACCUUAGGAAACUCAUUAACCAAUGGAACAUAUGGCAUAAUGGUGUCAUAAUGUGUAUUUUCAUUCUUGUAUUAAUGAUUAUAUUGUGUUUUGAUAUCUUGGCUUGUGAAAAAGUCUUCAAGAAAAGGAAAGGCGAAGCUUGUCAAUUCAUGAGCAAUUUGGACUCAAGGUAGGUUAGGCUUACUUGUAGUUAGAUUGAGCUUAAAUGUAGUAUAAUUAUGAUAUCUUGUACGACUGGGUGGGGUCUUAGAUGAAAAAUGGGUGAAUGAUGAUACUUGGGAUUAGAUGAUCCUAGUAGGCUAUUAAACUUGUAAAAUGAUGCUUUACUAUAGCCUGGAACCCUGAAUAGUUCUACUUGUAUUCUUAUGAUUAGUAUGAGAAUACUUUAGUUUCUCUAGUAGAGGAGAAUGAUGUUGUUACUAACAUUAAUAGUAUGUUGACAAAGAUAUGACUAGUUGUGAAUUAACCUUAGUGUUUGGGUCACUUAGAUAGGAUACUUGAUGAAGAUUUUCCCUUAUAGGACUAGCAAGGAUUAAUAAGACCUUAUGGUGUGAUUAGAUAACCUAGCUUAACUAUGGGUAGAAGUUCAUCUUGUAGAAGUGAACUUUGGCAUUAUUGGGAUUUAGGAGUGGGACUUGACCCAUGUUAAGCUUGAACUAUGUAAUUCCUUAGUGACCUAAACACUUGAGGAAUGUCUAAGUUACGGCAUUUAAGUUAUAAUGGUUAACUCGGUUGUUGGAUAUGCAUAUGGUUAAUGUUUGAAUAAUGUUCAUACUUUAUUGAUUAUCUUGUUGUCAUGAUAUGAAUAACUUUGGAAAGUCCUGUAAAUGGAACCAAUGGUUAUGCGAUCGCUUGGCUUAUUGAUGAGUUCACCAAGUGAACCUCUAAUUGUGUUAUCACUCUUGCUAUGAUCCAAGCCUAAUGAUUAAGCUAAAGUUUAUGUGAAGGAUUUUCCUUUAGUGUUAGUAUUGUGGAUAGUUAGAGUAAAAGAGGCAUUUAGAGAGAAUUCACUUGACUUAAAAUUGACUUUCUUAUAAACAUAUUAAUUUAGAAAAGUGGUGAUUGCGUAUAUCAUUUAGAUAUGCAUGCUCAUGCUUCUACUUAUAUUAUGUAAGAAUGAUUAAUAGUAAGGUAUGAUGCUAUGUGUUACCUUACAUCACUUAUACUCUAUCAUUGUGGGUUGUACAUGCUUAUUGAUUUAACUACAUAUGAAUGUGUAUAUUGUUGUCUUGAAUGAUGUGUUAAUAUGAUGAUGAUGCUCGAUGAAUCCGGAGGAUAUAUUGAUAUGAUAAUGAUGCCCAGUGAAUCUUGAGGAUAUAUUGAUGUUAUGAUGAAGUUCGGUGAAUUCGAAGGAUAUAUAGAUGUUAUGAUAAUGCCCGGUGAAUCUGAAGGAUAUAUUUUAAAUUUAAGAGGGGGUGAAUUGAAAUUUUCUUCUAUGAGACGACUACUGACUCCUCAUAGAAAGCUCGCCUAUAGAUCAAAACACUUCACACAUAAAUUAAUCUUAGAACAAUUAAGUAAGUAAAAACAAAACAUAAAGUAACAACACAAUGAUUUAUCCUGGUUCGGCACACCAAUGUAGUGCCUACAUCCAGUCCCCUUGGGUUUUGAAGUUUCCUUAUAUCAUUAAAAUUUUUUGUCGAAUACAAUGAUAGGAAACAAGUUCUAAGGACUUAAUUUGCUCUUCAGAUCUUGUGAUACAACUUCAAUUGAUGUUACAAAGUUGACUCUAUCCUACUCUUUAUUUAACAAUUGUAAAAUAAAGUUACAGAGCUUUGUAAGACUAAGAAUGAGACACUUUGAAUUUCUCAUUGAAGUGGCAUAAAAAGUGUGUGUCUUAGGUCUUCAUCAUUUAUAGUCUUUGGCUGCUACUUUUCAUAAGGAAACCAAAUAGAUUUCUUCUCAAUCAAGGAUGUAAAUUAAUUCCUUGAUUGAGUAAUAUAGUUGUAUGAUAUGUCCAUAUCAGAUAUGUAUAUAUGUGGCUUUGCAUCACGUCCAUAUUAGAUAUGUUCAUGAUCUAUUUUUUCUUUUUGGUUUUAUAGAGAUUGAUUUCUUUCCAAAUGUGCUUGUAAUCUUUUCUUUAGCCUUGAUUUUGGGAUUGUGAUGCUUCUUCUAUUUCUAUGAUAUUUUAUUGAUUUACUUGCCAUAUUCUUGAAUUGUUUUUUGGUUCCAUUUUCCAUGUUUUGAUCUUCAUAUCUUCAAAUAUUUUGAGAUGAUUUAAAGUUGAGAUUCUUUUUCCAUUUGUUCUUGUUGUGAUUUAUUUUCAUUGGAUACGUGGAUGUCCAUCUAUUCUUGAUGUCCUUCUAUUUUUGGAGUCGGCUUCCUUUAUCUUUCCAUUAUUUACAGUUGCAAAGAUACACUUGUUAGCUUGUCAUUAUUAAAACAUAAACUUAGAAAACUAACAAUCUCCCCUUUCUUGAUAAUGACAAUAAGAGUAAACAUCAGUUAACUUCCCUGUUUGUCUGCUUGCUCCCCUGACGUGUGUAAGUGUUAACUGACUUGUAAGCUUUCUCUUCUCCCUCUUACUGGUAGGAUUCUAGGCUACUCUGAUGUUCCAGACUUUCUCCCCCUUUAACAUAAUUAGAAAGAAAUAAUAUGCAGGCAAUAUCCAGACAGGGAGAUGUACGAAAAAUGAAGAAGAAAAUUUUUUUUUAAAAUAUCAUGAAUGCUAGGAAUAUCAAGCCUUUUUCAGAGAGAGCAAAAUCUUUAUUCUAGUAGAGGUUUUGUAAAAAUAUCUGCUAGUUGAUUUUUAGAGUCAAAAAAUUUUAGGAAAAAGUUAUUGUUUUCAACAUGGUCUUGAAUGAAAUGAUGCUUGAUAUCAAUAUGUUUAUCCCUAGAGUGAUGCAUAGUAUACUUAGAUAGGUUGAUGGAACUGGUGUUAUCACACAUAAUAGGAAUAGAUUUAAAAGAUAAAUCAAAGUCAAGAAGCUGAUACAUAAUUCAUCGGACUUGAGUUCCAUAGCUUUUGACAACUAUGUAUUCAUCUUCUGUGGUCGAGAGAGCAACGAAUGUUUGUUUCUUGAUAUGCCAUGAAAUAAGAGAAUCACCAAUAAUUUAACAUAUUCCACUAGUUCUCUUCCUGUCACUCUUGCCUCCUCCAAAAUCAGCAUCUAAAUAUCCAAAAAGUGUGAGGAGCAGGGAUACCAUAAACCAUGGUCUGGAGUUCCUAUUAGAUAUCAGAUGACUUGUUUGACAGGAGUGAGAUGAGAUUUAUCAGGAGUCGACAAGAAUCUGGCACAUUUACACACACAAAAUAAGAUAUUCAGUUGACUUGCAGUUAAGUAGACUAGAGAUCCAAUCAUCACUCAGUACAUCUUUUCAUCAACGUCUUUUCUAGCCAAGUCUGAAUCAAUUCUUUUGGAUGGGAUCAUGGGUGUUCCAUAGGUCUUUCCCUUUUCCAUGCCAAACUUUUUGAUGUGUUCUUUUAUGUAUUUGGCUUGACUGAUGUUCCCUUGGGAGUUUGCUUGAUUUGUUGUCCCAGAAAGAAUGUAAGCUUACCCAUAAGACUCAUUUCAAAUUCAUUUUUUAUCAAAUUAGUAAAAUUCUCACACAUGGAGAUGUCAGAACUACCAAAUAUGAUAUCAUUAACAUAAAUUUGCACAAUGAGGAGAUUUGAAUCAAGAUUUUGAACGAAUAGAGUUGUAUUAAUUUUAUCCCUUUGAAAAUUAUAUUUUAAUAUAAAAGUACUCAGUCUCGCGUACCAAGCUUUUGGAGCUUGUCUGAGGCCGUAGAGUGCUUUUGAUAACUUGAAAAAAUGAUUUGGAAAUGAAGGAUAUUCAAAUCCAGGGGGUUGGUUUACAAAACUUCCUCAUGAAUAAACCCAUUCAAGAAAGCACUUUUUACGUCCAUUCGAUAUAACUUAAAACAUUUGAAUGUGGAAAAAGAAAGAUUCAUAUUGACUAUAACCUUCCUACGGGGGGAAAGAUCUCUUCAUAAUCAAUACAUUCCAGUGCCUUGAGCUACGAGCCUGGAUUUAUUUUUGAUAACUUUUAUUUCUUCGUUUACCUUAUUUUUGUAGACCCAUCUGGUUCCAAUUACAGAGCAUUUUCUUGGUCUUUUAACUAGAUUCCAAACCUGAUUUCAUUCAAAUUAUUCUAGUUCUUGCUUCAUAGCUUCAAACCAUGAAUCAACAUUGAGAGCUUCAUCAAUUUUCUUUGGCUUAAUUUGGGACAAAAGGGCAACAUAUGCUUGUCUCUUUAGUGAUACUUUGGUUUACACUCUAUCUUUUGGAUUUCUGAUGAUGAGUUCAUUUGUAUGGCUGGUAUCAUGCUUCCAUUCUUUUGGAAUAUUUGGCCUUACUAUUUCUGUUGUGAGAAUCGACUCUGUCAAGGGUGUGGUUGACUUGUCUUAGGAAGGUUCUGGAGUUGUGAUAUGAUUUUCUUUAGUUUGUAUAUUACUCACCUGUUCUUCAUCAACACUUAUACUCCUAGUGAGAUGGUUAGAUACAUCAAAAACAAUGUUCAUAGAUUCCUCAACACACAUAGUUUUUUUAUUAAAAUCCUUGUAAGCAUGACUAGUGGGAGAGUACCCAAGGAAAAUACCUUCGUCACUUCGUGGAUCAAAUUUCCUUAGGAUAUUCUUACCAUUAUUGUGAAUAAAUCAUUUGCAACCAAAGGGAUGAAAGUAGUCAAUGUUGGGAUUCUUUCCACUCUAGAGUUUAUAAGGUGUUUUCUUCAAAAUAGCUCUGAUUAUACACUUAUUGAUGAUAUGACAUAUUGUACUAACUACUUCUGCCCAAAAGUGAUCUGGGAAAUUAUGUUCUAACAGCAUUGUCCUGAUAGUUUCUUGUAGGGACCGACUCUUCCAUUCCACUACACCAUUUUGUUGUAGAGAUCAAGGUGAGAGUAUUUAUUCUGAGUACAAUACUCUUAACAUGCCUUAUUUUCAAAUUCUCCUCCAUGAUCACUGUGAACGUAGGUGAUAAGGUGCCCAUCUUCUCUCUGUAUUUUUCUAUAAAAAAUCUCAAAAGUUAUGAAGGCUUUGUGUUUAUGUGCAAGAAACAUAACUGAUACAAGAAUAUACUACUAAAAUGAAAUUAAGGCCUAAAGAAACAAAAAUCAGAAACUACAAGAAAUGGAAAACAACAUAUAGAAGAAAGGAGAUGAAGUAGAAAUGCAUAAAAUGAAAAAGAUAGGUAAUGAGACCCUUACUAUCACCAAUGAUUGGCACAAGAAUUUGUCUCAAACAUUCAAACACACCUCACCAAUGGUAUUCCAAACCUCGCUCUUAGGUGGAACAAAGGAAUUAACACUCCUCAAUCAUACCUUUCUUGCCAAUUGAUCAACACAAGUCAAAUCCAUCAACUGUAUUAAUCCCUAGUUUCGGUGUCUUUUCCAAGACCUACACUAAUAUGGAUUUUCCAAGCCCUCCACUAAGAAAAGAAAAUACAAUUUGAGUUUUACUCAAUCCAUUCAUCCAAUUCUAAUGAAAAUAAGAGCUUAAAUGUUUAUUUAUACUAUUACAUAGUAAAUGUCACAAAUACACUUAAUGAAUAAGGGAAAUGGGUUGCCUCUUGAGUGUCACUUUAGGGUGUAAAAUGUAUUUUAUACCCUUCACUUAAGGCGCCUCUUGAGUGUAAAGGUUAUCCUCCUAGAUUCUCUUGAUCAAGUCUUUGAAAAUGCUCCUAAAAGUCCUUCAAUCACUUGUCAAUUCUGAAGCAUGAACCUUUGACAAUAUCUUGUGCUCUUGGUGCUUCGCAUGCUUGUAUCAUCCUCUCAAUAUUGAAAGAAACUUAUCCCCAAAUUCACACCCUGUAAAACCAAAGAGAUGGAAAAACAAGCACACAAUACUCACGGUAUGAGGAUUAGCAGUAGCACCACAAAUUAUAUAAUCAUGCCAAGGGGGUAUAUUUUUGGAAUACACCCAACUAUAUUUUUUUAUGAUCGUGAAACACCUACCACAAGUACCACAAUGGACACGGUUAAGGGAUACAUCAAGGAAUGAGGAACACAAGCUGAAACAAACAUAUAUGGUAUAUGUUUUCAAGGGAAUACAAAUAUUCAAAAUUGGGGACCUCCGGCUUUGUAAAACUCCCUUAGCAACACAAAGUCCAUCACUCCAAGGUUGUUCACACUUGACAUACACCCGCAUAUCCUUGGUAUUCGACAUGAAAAACUUAGCAUAAAGGAUACCAAAGAAGAGAAUAGCAUCAAUAUUAAAAUCUAAUGAGCAUGAACCAAAACUACACUUCCAACAUCUCAAAAGUACCCCGGGGUCAAAGGGAAGAAGUAACUAAGGGAUUAAGCCUCGGCCACUCUCAUUUUCCCCUAAGGUUCCAUCUACAAAGUUAAUAAUACCCUUUCUAUCACUAUUGGGAAUUUCAUGAUAGCAAAGAGGGUUGAUAGAGGUGUCACACAAGUCAACUUCAUAUUUGGUGUCCUUAUGCAUGUACUCACUAGUUUCAAGCUCAUCACCAUUGGUAUGCUCAUCAUAGGAAACACACAAAGAAUAAGUAGAUGGAACACCUAAACAAAUACCACCUUCUCUUUUAAGAGAGUAUCCCCCACACAUAUUUAAACCAUAAUGGGCAAAAAAGGGAUCACAAUCAAAACCAUUUUCACAAGUACAAUCAUAAUUUGGGUCUCCUAAAUAUUUUAGCAAAUCAAGGUCAACUCUACCCGAUUGAUCAUUUUGCACACCCUCACUAGUUGUUGGCAACUCACAUACUAACGUAGACUCACCUUAGUUUUCACAAGGGUCAAUUAGUGUGUGAAUAUUCUUGUCACUUGGUAAUGAAACCUUAUUCAAGUUAUAAGUGCUAGCAUUAGAUGGACACAAGUCAUUCUUAUGGAACGAAUUGAUUUUGUCAUCUAAAGAAUCAACUAGUGCUUGUGUACUUACAAUAAGAGUUUGGUCCUUAUGCAACCUAAAAACACCAAAAUUAUCACAAAAUUAAAAUUCACACACUUCUAUACUAAGAAAAUCCGAAACCAUACCAAUUUGGCCACUACUAGCCACAUCACAACAAUUCAAGUUUCUAAGGAUGUAGAAGAUAGAUUUGUUACCUUGUAGAUCAUGGGAAGUGUAUUAUUCACUUGGUUUUGUAUCAUGGAUGCCCUAAUACUCCACAUCAAAAUGUAAUAUGUCAAUAUUUCCCUUUGUAUUCAUUUCUUCAUCACUUGUCCCAACGUUGGAACUUUCAGCCAAGGAUUCCAUUAACCCAUCAACCGAAUAUGUAUGGAACUCCCUUUGGAUUCUUCUUUGAUGAUGUAUGAUAUUGAACCGCACAUAAUAAUAAUCAAAUCUAGUAAAAGUGAUAGCAUUUGGGUUAGUGAAUAACAAUGGUCCUUUGUGGACAAGAUCUAGAAUCAAGUGUUUUUUUUCCCUUCCAAUUUCAAUACUCGUGGCUUCCCUUUUCUUUUCCCUUAUUUCUUCACAUCCUUCUAGUAAAUCACCAUUAUUUUCUCACCAUAUUGAGGCUUAUCCUCAUUUACCUUGGGUUCUAACUCUCCCACUUCUCCUACUUGGAUGUAUUGAGUUCAGUUAAGGGGAGUUUGGAGAGGGGGAACCAGUUUUAGUUGAGGAAGGAUUUGAAUUGGUGGCCUUGGAUUUGGUGGCGUGUAGGAUAUUUGUUUUUGAGGUGUUUGAACUUAUGGAUGGUUUGUGGACAAUUCUAUCAACCUCCACUUUAAUUCUAUCCUAUAAUACCUCAUACUUUUUCCUAGAUUGAAAUUGUCCCAAGAAUGUUAGAAGCUUUCAUUGACAGAUGAAUCCACUUUUGUAUAUGUGGAAUUUUUAAGAUUUUCACUUUUUGUUGAGUUGGAAAUUGAAUUAUCUUUUCAACAAUACCAAUUUUGCCCAAAUCUGGUAUCGGAGUAAAAAGUUAUGGAUGUUUUAAUGAGAGUUGUCAGAACCAUCCAGGGGCGACGGUCAGAACCACGGACCGUCGAUCUAGCGACGGACCAUUUCCUAGACUAUUGUAGCUAAGGCAGUAAGUCAGUCUUUUAGAUAAGGAGCAAUGGAUAGGUUCACAGACCAUCGAACUUCUGAUGGACCAUCACUCGAGGCCAUCACUACUAAGGCAAUAGUCCCUAUUCUGGUCCACGUGCAACGGUCAGAAUGACGGACCGUCGACCCAGCGAUGGACCGUUGCAACAGCAUCACACAUCUCAUUCAGUUAUUUUAAGUCAUUUUUAAAGGGACUUUUUGGCCUUUUACCACCCUUUUAUAUACCUAGUAAUAUCUGACCAAGGAUCCUAGAUUCAUUAUUCUUCCACAACAUAAAAAUUAGGGUUUUCUCUCUAAGAUUUACCCUAAUAACAAAAUCCAAAUCCUCUUCAAUAAACUAAGAGAUUCAAAUUCUUCAAGUUCAAGAACUUUAAGAAACUCACUUCCAGGUAUGCAUAAUAUUCAUUCAUGGACUCCUUUCAUCCAUGAAGCCCAAGUAUCUCUUUUCAAAAUUCAAGUGUAUGGAUUUUUAUGAAUUUCAUGUUGGGUUUGCUUUUGUUCAUGUUGAUAAUGACCAAUUGAAUUAUAUUCCAUGUUUUAGUGAUAAUAUCUUAAAGGGAAUUUAUUAUUAUAGGUGUAGCUUUAUGUGUAUCCAUGAUUAAAUCCUUGAAUGGUGAAAUUAGAGAUGAAUCAUGAUGUUUAUUUGUUGUAUAAUGUUUUCUAUCUAUACUAUGCCUACCAUGUGUUUGAUUAAAUGCCUAUGUGAAUAAAAAGUGCCCAACUAGCUCUGUACCUAGAGCCAGCUUCAUGUAUAAUGUAGUCUAUCUAUACUAUGCCUACCAUGUCAGUCAUGUAUUCAAGAAAUUCAUGCUUUGUCAGUUUCUUUUCAUUGAGUCCUAUGGGUACUUGUACCAGAUAAUUUAGCUCUAUGCCUAGAGGCAGCGUCAUGUUUUCAUGAUAUCCUCAUUCAAGCCAUGUUUAGUAGAGUUCAGUUAGUCAUGUGACUCAGGAAAACUCAGUAAAACACAGAAAUCCCAGUAAAGCUCAGUAAUACAGGAAUCUCAAUACUAUUCUGUCAGUCAACGGAACUCAGUUAAUUCAGUCUAGUUUAGUAAUCCAUGUUCAGUGUCUAUUCAGACGGGAGUAGAAAUUAGAACCGAGUAAACCCAAGGAUGGGAACUCACCUGCCAGUAGAGAGUAAGAUUCUUAGAAGCAAUCCUUGCAUUCCAGAACUACGUAGCCAGCGUAAGUUGAGACAUCAUACCUUUUAGUCGAGAGUAGAUGAGGUGGUUUAACCUACUAGUUGAGGGUUCCCACCAUUCUUAUUAGAAUAACCGGCUAGUUGAGGGUCACUCACAUGUUGUCCUUACUAGUGGCGUGGUAUUGGCAUCCUUCUAAUUAGGGCUUAGAUUGGACCCCAAUUCAACUAUAAUGCAUUAUUUAGGGCAUGUCGAUUGGAUGAAUACUUCGUACAGUUUCAGAAUUAGUAUCAGUCAAGAACUCAGAUAGAUCUUCAGAUUUUAGAACUAUCAGAUACAGUCAACUUAGCUUAGUACGGAACUCAGAUAGUUCCAUUAGAAUCAGUACUGUCAGAUAUAGUCACUCAUGUUAUCAGUAUUCAAAUUUAGUAAUCAUGAUAUCACAGUAUCAGUGUUAGUUAUUAUGUCUCAUGCAUAUAUUCUUCCGCUCAUGAUAGUCAUUCUGUUAUUAUUAUUGUUCAUGCAUGUGAACCUCAUGUAUUUAACCUACCUCAUAUGCAUACCAGUACAUUUAAUCGUACUGACACAUUCGCGUUAUAGUAUUUUAUACCAUAGGUUCAGAGACACGAACUCUAGAGCAUCAGUAGCAUUCUAGUCUCAGCAGUCAGAGUUAGUAGUGAGUCCUCAUAUUUUGAGGACAUGAUCAUUACUUUGUUAUUUCAUUAAUAAAUUUAUUAGUUGGAGUUAGUUGGGGACAUGUCCCAUCAACUCUUUAUUCUGAGAUCAUGUUUUAGAGGCUUUCCAGACUACGGUAUGUUCAGAUAGUUUAUAUAAGUUUUAUUUUGGGUAUCUCAUACCCCACCUAGAUGUUAUAUUUUUAUCAGAUAUUAUGUCUCAGUCUUGAACUUUAUGGCCUUUCAUUUUUAUGUUUUCAUAUUAUACAGUAUAUUAUACAGUAUACAGGUAUAGAUAUCAGUCAUGGGUUAGCAUGUGGUCCUUCGAGGUUAUAAGCACCAUGUAGCAUUUCGGGUACCAGAUUUGGGGUGUUACAAACUUGGUAUCAGAUCCUAAGGUUCAAUAGAGUCUUAGAGAGUCUGAAAGCCAUAUCUAGUAGAGUAUUGUACGCCACAUUUAUGUGCAGGAGGCUAUAUGAUCUUUUAGGAAUAAUUUCCCCUCUUUCAGUAUUUAUGUCAUGCUAGUGAGCAUAAUAUCAAGUCAAUCUCUUCAUAUAAUUUGUUUCUUCUCUUUAUUUUAGAACAUGUCUCCUAAGAGAAGAAAUCAGCCUGCCCAAGAAAAUCCCUUUGAUUAACAUAUUUCUCAUGCAAAGUUUAGAUAUGCAUUCACUACUCUUGCUCAGUUAGUUUCUGCUUAGAAUGAAUGAACAGCUGUCGUUCUAGCAACCCAGUAGCCAAUUCAGCUGCAGCCAAGAUUUGGGACUUCACCUGAAUAAAUCCUCCAUCUUUUCUCAAGUCUAAAGUAGAUGAGGACCCUCAAGAAUUCCUAGAUCAAGUGGAUAAUAUUACUGAUAUUAUGGGGGUUACUCCUAUUGAGAGUGGUGAGCUAGCUACAUAUUAGUUGUAGAAUAUUGCUCACACUUAGUUCAAGUAGUAAAAGUCCGAGAGGGCAGCUGAUGCAGGGUCAGUUGAGUGAGAGUAGUUUACUUCUACUUUUCUUGAUAGAUUCUUUCCCCUAGAGCUUAGAGAAGCUAAGGUGUUAGAAUUUAUCAACCUCGCGUAGGGAAAUAUAAUGGUGAAAGAGUACUCCUUUAAGUUUACUCAACUAGAAAAAUAUACCCCUCAUGUGGUUGUAGAUAGCAGAGCCAAGAUGAGUAAGCUCGUUUCAGGGGUGAAUGAUAGCAUUGUUAAUGAAUGCAGAUCUGCCAUACUGAAUAGUGACAUAACUUUAGCCAGGCUUAUGAUCCAUGCUCAGCAGAUAGUAGAGCAAAAAAUUAAGAUGAGGGAGAAGAAAAAUAAGAAAGAAAGGAUAGGUAGUUUGAACUUUGCUCAGCCCAAAUUAGAAAGAGAAAACCGUUCUCAGUUUCAUCCUAAGUCAUCAGUUUCAGCUCCUUCUUCAGCCAGUGCUCCAGUUUCUAAGUUCAGAGAGGGUAACAAAGAUAGAGCACCAGGAUCUAAGUCUUAGGGCAGUAUUAGCAGUGCCCACACUUAUUCUCUUUACCAGACUUAUGGCAAGCACCACCAGGGUACUUGCAGAGAUAGCAGUGAUACUUGUUUUAUGAGUGGCAUGCAAGGAUACAGAGUUAGAGAUUAUCUGCAGUCAGGUCCACAGGGUCAAUAGAACCUUUCCUCAGCUCAGUUCGGUCUCCCCAAUCAGCAGGGUGCCACCUUUAGUGCUACUAGUGGUCAACGUCCAAACAAACUCUUUGCUCUUCUUUCCUGGCAAGAUUAGGAAAAUUCUUCUUACGUAGUUACUGGUACGUUAUAGAUAUUUCUUGUGUAUGUUUAUUAUUUGUUUAAUCUAGGUACUUCCUUGUCUUUUGUUACUCCCUAUAUAGCAAGUGAUUUCAGAGUCAGUCCCAAAAUUCUAGUAGAGCCCUUUUCAAUAUCUACCCUAGUGGAUAAAACCAUCAUAGCCCAGCGGGUAUAUAGGAACUGCCCAGUUAAGAUAUUUUAGAAAAUCACUUCAGUAGACUUAGUCAAAUUAGAUAUGACUAAUUUUGAUGUCAUUCUCAGCAUGGAUUGGCUUCAUUCAUUCUAUGCCAUAGUCGACAGCAGAAACAAAAUAGUCUAGUUUCAAUUCCCAAAUAAACCUGUCCUUGAGUGGAAAAGUAGUUUAUCUACUUUUAGAGGUCAGUUUGUUUCCUAUCUUGGGGCAUGAAAGAUGAUACUAAGGGAUGUGUCUAUCAUCUUAUUCAUAGUAAGGACUCUAGCUCCAAAACUCCCAAUCUUGAAUCAGUUCCAAUCAUGAAUGAAUAUCCAGAUAUAUUUCCCAAAUAUCUUCCAGUAAUUUGUCCUGAAAGGGAAAUAGAAUUCGACAUUGAUAUUCUUCUAGAAACUCAGCCUAUAUCUAUUCUGCCAUAUAGAUUGGCACCAGAAGAACUCAAAAAAUUGAAAGAGCAGUUGAAAAAUCUCUUAGAUAAGGGAUUCAUCAGACCUAAUGUUUCCCCGUGGGGCGCACCAGUCUUAUUCAUGUGCAAGAAAGAUAGUUCUAUUAGAAUGUGCAUUAAUUACCUUCAAUUCAAUAAAGUUAUGGUCAAGAACAAGUAUCCACUUCCCUGAAUUGAUGACUUGUUUGACCAACUUUAGGGUGCCAGCUAUUUCUCUAAGAUAGAACUCAGGUCCGGCUAUCAUCAGCUCAGAGUCAAAGAAUGUGACAUUCCAAAAAUAGCCCUCCGUACUUGGUAUGGUCACUUCGAAUUCCUAGUCAUGUCCUUUAAUCUUACCAAUGCCCUAGCAGCUUUCAUGGACUUGAUAAAUCGGGAUUUCAAGUAGUACUUGGACAUAUUCGUUAUAGUCUUCAUAAAUGAUAUUCUAGUCUAUUCCCGCAGUGAUCGAGAUCAUACAGACCAUCUUAGAAUAGUACUUCAGACUCUCAGAGAUCAUCAUCUAUUCGCCAAAUUUAGUAAGUGUGAAUUUUAGCUAAGGUCAGUAGCAUUCCUUAGUCAUAUCAUUUUCGGUGAUAGCAUUAGAGUAGAUCCUCAAAAGACUAAAGCAAUAAGAAACUGGCCCAGACCUGUCUCUCUAUUAGACAUUAGGAGUUUCUUGGGUUUUGCUGGCCAUUAUAGAUUCUUGAAGGAUUUUCUUCUAUUGCAUCCCCUAUGUCCAGAUUGACUCAAAAAAGGUCAAGUUUCAAUGGUUAGACCCUUGUGAGAAGAGUUUUCAGGAGUUAAAGACUCGACUCACCUCAGCUCCAAUUCUGGCUCUUCCAGAUGGUUUAGAUGGGUUCCUGGUGUAUUGUGAUACAUCCAGAGUAGGUUUGGUUUAUGUCAUUUUGCAGCAUGGUAAGGUCAUAGCCUACGCCUGUAGACAGCUUAAACCCCAUGAGAAGAAUUAUCACCUUAAACCCCAUGAGAAGAAUUAUCCUACUCAUGAUCUUAAAUUAGCAGUCGUAGUUUUUUCUUUAAAGAUUUGGAGGCAUUAUCUAUACGGUGUUCAUGUAGAUGUGUUCACAGACCAUAAGAUCCUUCAUUAUGUCUUUUCUCAAAAACAUCUCAGUCUUCAUUAGAGAAGGUGGUUAGAGAUCUUGAAAGAUUAUGACAUGAGUGUCCUUUAUCAUUCGAGCAAGGCUAAUAUAGUGGCCAAUGCUCUUAGCAGACUAUCUAUGGGUAGUGUUGCUCAUGUGGAAGACAGUAAGAAGAAGUUAGCUCAGGAAGUCCAUCUAUUUACCAUGCUAGGCGUUCGCUUAGUCGAUUCAGAGAAGGGUGACAUAUGGGUUCAGAGUAGUUCAGAAUCAUCUCUAGUUUUUGAGGUGAAAGAAAAUCAAGAUAGAGAUUCCAUCCUUGUCAAGUUAAAAUAAUUAGUCUAGGAUCAAAAGUAGAGGUUUUCUCCUAAGGGAAAGAUGAUACUCUGCUUUGUUAGGGUCGUCUCUGUGUUCUAAGUAUAGAUGAUAUAUGGUAGUGAAUCCUUGCAGAAGUGCAAGGUGUACGCUACUCUAUUCAUUCAGGGACCACAAAGAUGUACCGUGACUUAUAGGAAAUCUAUUGGUGGAGUGGGAUGAAGAGAUAUAUUGCAGAAUUUAUGGCUAAGUGCUCUACAUGUCAAUAGGCUAAGAUAGAGCAUCAGAAUCCUAGUGGUCCCAUGCAGGAGUUCAUUAUUCCUACUUGGAAGGGUGAAAAGUGAACAUGGAAUUCGUGAUGGGUUUGUCUCGAACUCGUCAUCAGCGUGAUUCAGUCUGGGUCGUUAUAGAUAGAAUGACCAAAUCAGCCAUUUCCUUCCAGUCCAUACCUCUUAUUCAGUCGGGGAUUAUGCCAAAAUCUAUAUCAGGGUGUCCCACUAUCUAUUAUUUCAUAUAGAGGUACCCAGUUCAUCUCUUAUUUUUGUAAAGCAUUCCAAAAGGGUCUUGGUACCCAAGUUCAUCUCAGUACAGCCUUUCAUCCUCAGAAAGAUAGUCAAGCAGAAAGGACCAUUCAUACUUUAGAAGAUAUGCUAAGGGUGUGUUCAAUUGAUUUCAAGGAUAGUUGGGAUGACUACUUCCCUUUGAUUGAGUUUGCAUACAACAGCAACUAUCAUUCCAGUACUAAGAUGGCUCCAAUCAAAGCUCUAUAUGGUAGGAGAUACAGAUCUCCAGUCGGUUCGUUCAAAGUUAGUAAGGCCUGAGUCAUAGGGCAUGACUUGGUAUUCAAUGCCUUAGAAAAAGUCCAAUUGAUCAAGAAACACUCUGGGCUUCUCAGAGCCAACAGAAGUCUUAUGCGGAUAUUCAUACAAAAAAUCUCGAGUUAGAGAUUAGUUACUAUGUCUAUCUAAAGAUCUCACUUAUGAUGGGAGUGAAGAGAUUUAGCAAGAAGGUAAAUCUCAGUCCCCCAUAUAUCGGUCCCUUCAAGAUUCUCAGUCUUUUUGGCAAGGUAGCUUACGAGCUCGAGUUGCCUUCAGGUCUAGCCUCAGUUUAUCCAGUCUUCCAUGUCUCUUUGCUCAAGAAAUGUAUAGGUAACCCAGCAGUUGUAGUACCUAUUCAGAGCAUAGAUGUUCAGAAUAGCCUCUCUUAUGAAGAGAUCCGAGUCGAAAUCCUAGACUAUCAGACUCGUAGACUAAGGAACAAAGAAGUCCCUCUACUCAAAGUUCUUUGGUGAAAUCAGUUUGUUGAGGGAGCUACUUAGGAAGAAGAAGUAGACAUGCAUUCCAAGUAUCCCCACCCCUUUUCCACAAACUCAGAUCAAGCUCAAGGUAACAAUUCUCCUUAAGAUUUCCAGUUUCAUGCUCAGAUUUCAGUUACAAGCUUGGUAUCCACUUCAUGUUCAGAAUUUUAUUAUAUGCUUGGUAUUGAAUACCAUUGCAUAUUCAGUCAUGCAUUCAUGUAUUAGUUUAGUUAUAUAAUUAUGCUGCAUUUUUAUUGUGAGAAACUUAGUUCCUCAGAACACUCAGUUAUGCAUUCAUGAAUCCGUUACACAUGCAUCAGAUAUGUAUCUUCAGUAUAAUAUGUUCAGUUAUUAGUUAUGUCAGUCAUGAAAUAAUUUUUCAGUUGCUUAUAUCUAGUAUGUACGUUAGCUUAUGUUAUUCCCCUUACUCUCAGUCUCAUUCGAGGAUGAAUGUUCUCAAGGGGGAGAUAUUAUAAUACCCCAUACUUUUUCCUAGCUUGAAAUUAUUCCAAGAAUGUUAGAAGCUUUCUUUGAAAGAUGAAUCCACUUUCUUAUACGUGGAAUUUAUAAUAUUUUUACUUUUUUGAGUAGAAAAUUGAAUUAGCUUUUCAACGAUACCAAUUUCGUCCAAAUUUAGUAUCGAAGUAAAAAGUUAUGGACGUUUUAUCGAGAGCUGUCAGAACUACCCAAGUACAAUGGUCAGGACGACGGACCAUCUAUCUAGCAAUGGAUCGUCACCUAGGCCAUUGCAGCUAAGGCAAUAAGUCAGUUUUCUAGAUAAGGUGCGAUGGACAGGUUGAUGGACCGUCAAAAUUGCAUGGACCGUCGCCCCAGGCCAUCGCUACUAAGGCAGUAAGUCCCUAUUCGGGUCCACAUGCGACUGUCAAAAUGAUGGACCGUCGACCCAGUUAUGGACCAUCGCACCCACCGUCGCACAUCUCGUUCAGUUAUUUUUAAGGCAUUUUUAAAGGGGCUUUUUGGCCUUUUACCACCCGUUCAUAUACCUAGUAAUAUCCGACCAAGGCUCCUAAAUUCAUUAUUCGUCCACAACAUAAAAAUUAGGGUUUUCUCUCAAAGAUUUACCCCAAGAACAAAAUCCAAAUUUUUUCAAGAAACUAAGAGAUUCAAAUUCUUCAAGUUCAAGAACUUCAAGAAACUCACUACCAGGUAUGCAUAGUGUUCAUUCAUGGACUACUUUUAUCCAUGAAGCCCAAGUAUCUCUUUUCAAAAUUCAAGUGUAUGGAUUUUUAUGAAUUUCAUGUUGGGUUUGCUUUUGUUCAUGUUGAUAAUGACCAAUUGAAUUCUAUUCCAUGUUUUAGUGAUAAAAUCUUAACGGGAAUUUAUUAUUACAGGUGUAGCUUCAUGUGUAUCCAUGAUUAAACCCUAGAAUGGUGAAAUUAGAGAUGAAUCAUGAUGUUUCUUUAUUGUAUAAUGUUGUCUACCUAUACUAUGCCUACUAUGUGUUUGAUUAAAUGCCUAUGUGAAGGAAAAGUGCCCAACUAGCAUGAUAUUAUAAAAUCCCAUUUAUGUACAAGUUUAUGUAUAUCACAUGUUUGAUGAAAUGCCUCAAUAAAUGAAUUAUGGAUUGUGAUGUUUGUCAUGUAUUCAAUAAAGUCAUACUUUGUCAGUUUCUUUCCAUCGAGUCCUGGGGGUACUUAUACCCGAUAAUUUAGCUAUGUGCCAAGAGUCAGUGUCAUGUUUUCAUGAUAUCCUCAGUCAAGCCAUAUUUAGUAGAAUUUAGUUAGUCAUGCGACUAGGUAAAACUCAGUAAAACUCAAAAAUCCCAGUAAAUCUCAUAAAGCUCAGCAAUAUAGGAAUAUCAGUACUAUUCCGUCAGUCAACGAAACUCAGUUUAUACAAAUCAAUAAUCUAUGUUCAGCGUCUAUUCAGAUGGGAGUUGAAAUUAGCAACCAGUAAACCUAAGGAUGGGAACUCACCUGCCAGUACAGGGUGUGAUUCUUAGAAGCAUUCCUUGCAUUCCAGAACUAUGUAGCCAUCAUAGGUUGAGACAUUAUGCCUGCUAGUCGAGGGUAGAUGAGAUGGCUUAACCUGCUAGUCGAGGGUUUCCACCAUUUUCAUUAGAGUAACCUGCUAGUUGAGGGUCACUCAUCUGUUGUCCUUACCAUUGGCGCAGUAUUGGUACCCUUCCAAUCAGGGCACAGAUUAGACCCCAAUUUAGCUAUAAUGCAUUAUUUGGGGCAUGUUGGUUGGAUGAAAACUUCCCAUAAUUUUAGAAUCAGUAUCAGUCAAGAACUCAAAUAGUUCUUCAAAUUUUAGGACUAUUAGAUAUAGUCAACUCAGCUUAGUACGGAACUCGGAUAGUUCCAUCAGAAUCAGGACUGUCAGAUACCAUCAUUCAUGUUAUUAGUAUUCAGAUUUAGUAAUCAUGUUAUUACGAUAUCAGUGUCAGUUAUUAUGUUUCAUGCAUGUAUUCUCCCACUCAUGAUAGUCAGUCUUUUAUUAUUAUUUUUUAUGCAUAUGAACUCCAUGCAUUUAGCCUACCUCACAUACAUACCAGUACAUUCAAUCAUACUGACGCAUUCACGCUAUGAUGUUUUAUACAAUAGGUUUAGAGACACGAGCUCCAAAGCAUCAGUAGCAUUCUGGUCUCAGCAGUCAGAGUUAGCAGUGAGUCCUCAUCUUUCGAGGACAUGAUCAUUACUUUAUUAUUUCAUUAAUUAAUUUAUUAGUUGGAGUUAGUUAGGGACAUGUACCGUCAACUCCUUAUUCAGACAGUCAUGUUUUAGAGGCUUUCCAGACUACAGUAUGUUCAGAUAGUUCAUUCCAAUUUUGUUUUGGGUAUCUCAUACCCCUCCCAGAUAUUAUAUUUUUAUUAGAUAUUAUGUCUCAGUCUUGAACCUUAAGGCCUUUCAGUUUAUAUUUUCACAUUAUACAGGAUAUUAUGCAGUAUACAGGUACAGAUAUCAUUCAUGGGUUAGCUUGUGGUCCUUCGGGGUCAUGAGCACCGUGUAGUAUUUCGGGUACCAGAUUUGGGUUGUUACAAACUUGGCAUCAGAGCCUAAGGUUCAAUAGAGACCUAGAAAGUAUGUACAUGGGUAUGUUGGGCACCACAUUUAUGUGCAAGAGGCUAUAAGAUGUUUUAUCAAUAGUUUCCCCUCUUUCAGUAUUCAUGUCAUGCCAGUGAGCAUAAUCUCAAGUCAAUCUCUCCGGCUUAUCCAUUUAUUCUCUUUAUUUCAAAGCAUUCCUCCCAAGAGAAGAAACCAGCCUGUCCAAGAAGAUCCCUUAGAUAAACAUGUUUCUCAUCCAAAGUUCAGAGCUGCAUUUACUACUCUUUCUCAGUCAGUUGCUACUCAGAACGAAUGACCAGUUGUCGUUCUGGCCAACCCAGUGGCCAAUUCAGCUGUAUCCAAUAUUUAGGACUUCACCUGAAUGAAUCCUCUAUCCUUUCUCGGGUCUAAGGCAGAUCAGGAACCUCAAGAAUUCCUAAAUAAAGUGCAGAAGGUUACUAACAUUAUGAGGAUUACUCCUAUUGAGAGUGUUAAGCUAGCUGCAUAUCCGUUGUAUGAUGUUUCUCAUACAUGGUUCAAGCAGUGGAAUUUAAACUACCCUGAGAAGGAACUCGAAUUCCUUUUAAAGGAGUUAUCUCUUAUGAAACUAUGGAUUGGAGAUUUUUUAAGAUUGUUUUAUUUAUUUUUUUGUGUUACCAAGAUCUUUAUGAAGCAAGUCAAUUUCAACUUGACAUGCUUCAAUUUCUAUUUACCAGUUUCGUCGCUCCUCUAAGAGUUUUUAUUUAAAUCGAGCAUCACAACUUUUCUUCUCUUGAGAAAGCUUGUUAUAUUCAUCUAUGAUUAUUUGAAGUUCAUCGGUUAUCAUAUCUAGAUUAUAAUCAAAAGUAGUACAGUUAAGAUAGUUAUGUGAUCUUACCUCACUAGGUUCACAUGUCUCCAUGAAGCACAUAUUAGUAACCUCUAUUUCUUCUUUAGAUUCAUCUUUAUCGCUCCAGGCUCCAAAAAUUUGAUUUUUUCUAGACGGUCAUUUUCUCAAUUCUAGACAAUUUUGUUUGAAGUGUCCACGACUUCCACAGUAGUAAAAGAGAUUAUCGUUUCUUUUAGAGUCAUUAUUUUUCCCUCCAUAGGAUCUUUGUUAUCUAUAUCGCAUGAUCUAUCUUAUGCCACGGUUGAUGAGGGUCAUUCCUUUACUAUUGGCAUCUUCUAGAAUAUCCUCCUCUCCAAUUACAGUAGCAUUAAAAGCUAGUGAUUUUUUCUCCUGACCCUUGUAAAACCUGUUGAUAUAAUUUUUCUCAUAUGCAAUAAGGUUACCUUGUAGUUCAUCAUAUGUCAUGUUAUGAAGGUCUUCAUCUUCCAGAAUAGCAACCUUAGUUUCCCAAGUUUUUGGAAUACUUUGGACAAGCUUCUAGACUUCCAGGCUGUAAGGAUAAUUCAUUCCCAGUGAUUUUAGUUCGCACAUAAUUUUACUGAAUCUAGCAAACAUUAUUUUAAUAUCCUCAUUUUUCUCAAUUUUUUAUAACUCUUAUUCAUUGAUAAGAGUAGCAAUUUUUGACUUUUUGACUUUGGUGGUUCCUUCAUAGGUUACCUCUAGUUUGUCCCACAUUUCUUUUAAUAUUUCACAUGUUGAAACCUUAUCGUAUUCUAUUCCGCUAACUGCACACAAAAGCAAACUUAUAACAUAUGUGUUAGUUUGAAUUACCUCUUGUAGUUCUUUGGUGACCUCAAAGCUUUUAAGAUCUUCAAUAUCAAAACUGCUAGAUUCUUUAUAUUUAUCCUUUGACUUUUCCUUAAGUACUGGAAUCGGCUUUGGACCUUUCUUGAUAACAACCCAAGCUUAGAACUCAUUUGAUUGGACAAAGAUCCUGAAACUAUUCUUCCAAUAUAUUAAUGUUGUCCAUUAAACUACGAUGGUCUUAUGGAUGAGUAACCAUCCUGAAGGAGAGCACCAACAAUCUGAUAAUUGGCCAUCUAUUAUUUUCUUAAUUACGGUUAAGUAAUGUUAUUUGUGAGACCUGCUCUGAUAAAAAUUAAAUUUCAAGAGCGGGUGAAUUAAAAUUUUCUUAUGUGAGUCGACUACUGACUACUCACAGUCAGUUUGCCUGCAGAUCAGAACACUUUACACACAGAUUAAUCUUAUAAUAGUUAAGUAAGUAAAUAACAAAAAAUAAGGUAACAACACAAAGAUUUAUCCUGGUUUGGCACACCAAUGUAGUGCCUAUGUCCAAUCCCCUUGGGUUUCAAAGUCUCCUUAGAUUGUUGAAAGUUUAGCUUAAGUACAAUAAUAGGAAACAAGUUCUGAGGACUUAUUUUGCUCUUUAGAUCGUGUGACACAGCUUCAGUUGAUGUUACAAAGUGACUCAAUCCUAUGCUUUAUUUAACAAUCGUAAACUAAAGUUAUCAAGCUUUGUAAGACUAAGAAUGAGACACUUUGAAUUUUCUCCUUGAAGUUGCGUGAAAAGUGUUUGUCUUUGAUCUUUAUCAUUUAUAGUCUUUGGCUGCUACUCUUCAUAAGAAAACCUAAGAUAUUUCUUCUCAAUUAAGGAUGUAAAUUGAUUCCUUGAUUGAGGAAUAUAGUCGUAUGAUAUGUCCAUAUCAGAUAUUUUUGUAUGUUUCUUUAGAUCACAUCCAUAUUAGAUAUGUCCAUGAUCUAUUUAUUCUUUUUGAUUUUGUAGAGAUUGAUUUCUUUCCAAAUAAGCUUGUGAUCUUUUCUUUCUGAUUGAUGUGAUCUUCCUUGAUUUUAGGAUUGUGAUCAUUCUUCUAUUUCCAUGAUAUUUUAUUGAUCUGCUUUCCAUAUUCUUGAAUUGUUUUUUGGUUUUAUUUGCCAUUUCUUGACCUUCCAAAUCUUCCAAUAUGUUGAGAUAAUUUAGAGAUAUGAUUCUCUUUCCAUUUGUUCUUGUUGUGCUUGAUUAUCCUUGGAUACAUGGAUGUCCUUCUAUUCUUGAUGUCCUUCUAUUUUUGAAGUCGUCUUCCUUUACCUUUCCAUUAUUAACAGUAGAAAAUAUACACUUGUUAGUUUGUCAUUAUUAACACAUAAACUUAGGAGACUAACAAUAUUGAUGUUAUGAUGAUGCCUGGUGAAUUCGGGGGAUAUAUUGAUGUUAUGAUGAUGUCCGGUGAAUCCGAAGUCUUUAUUAAUGUUAUGAUGAUGUCUGGUGAAUUCAGAGGAUAUAUUGAUGUUAUGAUUAUGCCCGAUAAAUCCAAAAGAGGUGAUGAUGAUGUGAUAAUAUUGUGUGUGGUAAGUAUAUAUGUGAAUGCAUGGUUGAUGUGAGGUUAUGCCAUGUGUGGCUAAACUCAUUUGGGUACUUGGGACAUGAUGUCUUCCUUGGUAAAUUACUAUCCAUUCUUUGUCAUUAAUUACUAGAUAUGAGGUCCCUUGUUAACUCAAAUUAGUAUCUAGAAGUAGAUUAUGCUGAGUAUUGGGUUAAGGCUAAUUGAUAUGUGCAAUCUUGUGUAGAACCUAAGGCUCACCUAGUUAAUCUACUUGACUUGGAUGAAUGAUUAUGCUAUGGAAUUUCACCUAGUGAAGUGAUUAUGUAAUAACUAGUUGUAUCUAAUAAAUGACUAUGACUUGUAGGCUAGAAGCCUAGUGAACUAGUUGGUGGACCUUACUUAGCUAAAAUAUAAAAACUAGUCCUUAAGGUUGUAACAUGCUUAAUGAUAAUAGACCUAGCAUUGUAUAACGAGUGGUUAAGUUGACAUCUACUAUGUGAUUCUGUGGUGUCUUAAUUGAUGACUUAUAUAAUUAGAAGGCUAACUAGAAGGUGGCUUAGAUGGGUGAAUAAAUAAUAGUGUUGGUAACUUGUAUAUUUCCCCUAUUUGAUGACUAGUAAACUAUUAGACUUGCAAACUAGUGGAUCAUAGAAAUAGAGGCUAGCUAGUAAAGGAUAGACAUAAAGUUUAUUAAUGAGUUAGAUAUUAAAUAACUAUAUAACCAUGUUAUGCUGAUAUCAGCUUCGUUGUGGCAAAUUGUGGUAUUGAUGAUAAAUGUAGACCUCGGUAAGAGGCCAUGGAGGGAAUGUACAAUCUGCGGCUUUGGUGAGUUGCUUGUGUAGUUAUGCCUUGAUAUGUUGAUGGAUUGAUCUUUUGGUGUAUUCUCCGGUGGUAUGGGAUACCGUGACGAGUUCUUUGUUUGUUUUCCUUGAGUGUACUUCCCAGGGGUAUGGAAUAUCGUGGUAAGUUCUUUUACUUUAUACUCUAAUGAUGGAAGUUGUAUUGAUUAUGGUAAUUACAUGAUUGUUAUUGUAUAUAUAUGUGUGGGUUUAUGCUUCCAAAAUGAUUACUUAUGUUGUAUUAACGUUAUGGUAUAUGUGGAUAUAGAAUGUUGUACUAUUGUUGUAGUUGAUUAGUAACCUUAUAUAGUGAUAUGGAAGAAGAUUCAAGUUCAAUUCUAUACCUUGACUUUAAGUUAUUAUCUUAUUGUAUAUCAUCUUAUAUUAUAAUUUAGCUCAGUCGGCCGAUGAUGCCUACAGAGUACCCAUGUUUUUGUACUCAUACUACACUUUUGUACCUUUUGGUGCAGACUCAAGUUUUGUUACUGUCGUUGAGUCGAGAUCGUGCGGUGUUGAUCAUCAGGAGACAGGGUGAGCUCUUGGAGUUUGAGUUGCCUUUUUUCCCUUAUAUCCUUAUUAUUUCUUUUGUGUUCGAGAUGGAUUUAUAAGACUAUUAGAUAUUGAGUUGUAAAUUCUAUUAUUGAAUGUAGAGAGGCUUUUGUACUAAUACUAUCAGGUUUUGGGAUUUGUAUUAUAAUAUUAGUUAUUUCUUUGUGUAAUGUCUUUGUUAUAUUGUGUUCCUAUAUAGGGUCCAUGUUGGACGUUCCUACCAAGGCAACCCAUUGCAUUAGUUCUGAGUUAUGGUGUUGGCAUACCUACUAGUGGGUUAUAGUAGGUGCAAUCAUGACUUGAAAUUAGGGUCAUGAUAGUUUUAAAUGUUUCACUUUUUUUAAAUUUUUCAAAUGAACCAGGGAAUUUAAAAUUUCAAGGUAGUUUUGAAUUUCCUGGAGAAGAAAAAGCUUCAGGUUGAGAAAUUUCUUGUUCUAUUGGUGACCCAAACCCUUGGUUUGGAUUCUCUAUCAUGAUUGGAUGAGCAUAAAUUUCUAAUAUUAAGGAGGGUUCAAUGGAGACUAACUCAUUUGUGGGUUCUUGACUUUCUAAGGAAGAUACAAUUAGAAGAAUUGACUUAGGUUGUUGCUGGGAACCCGAAUUGAUAUUUUCCAUGGUUUUGAUUUCUAAAGAAUCAAAGUUUUAAAUUCAGGUUGUUCAGUUUGAUUUUCAGGAGUUAUACUUAAUUCUGAAUUUUUUACUGGGUUUGAGGAAGUAGGAACAUUAGCCCUUUGGUUUUGUGAGUGAAAGAGAGUGAAAGGGACCAAUAUGAUUUAACUAAGGCAAUUGAUUAAGAGUGAUAAGUUGAGACUACGAAUGGGAAAUAGCCUAAUUUAGCAAUUUGAAGAGGUGGCCGUUAUGAUUAUAAGAUUUUGAAAUGACAUAGCUGAUCCUAAUAAGUGUGUCUCUUCAUUUUUCAAAAGAAUUGAUGACUUUUAUUUAGAUAAGGAAAAACACAUGGCGUUUUAGACAACAUUUUAUCAUUAUUAAAGCAUCUUUUAUUGAUACUAACCUGAGAGAUGAGACCAGAUCCCUUUCCCUUUUGAGUGAAUCUUUAAAUUUGUUAAACUCACAUUUGUCCACUUCCAAAGUUGUUCCCAUGGGUGUAUACUUGCAAGUCUAGGGUACUGAGUACGACAAAUAUGCACCUACCUUAUCAAGGAUACUUGUCUCCUAAGGAUAGCCAAUUUUGGGGAAAGAUAUUAAUUCAUAUGUUAGUUCAGGCUAGUAUCAUGCUUUACCCUCUGCACACCUCUUUACCUCAGAACUUGUUCCUGAAGUAGGUCUAAGGACCAGGUCCCAGAUUUGACUUUAUUCAAACUUCUAAAGCUUCACCUUCUGAGAUAAGUUUUCUAGGGGCCAGGUCCCUGAGAAUCAUGAUCCCUUUCUUAUUGAUCUUCUACUUCAGUUGGGAUCAGUUACUGGAGUUCUAAAUCAUCACCAUUCUUAUUUGCAUCUUUCAUCCUUUUGCCCAUCAUCUUCAGCAUCACCAUCCCUUUAUCUUUGCUCCAUGAGUUCUUCUUGUCUUGGAAAUUUAAGCUAUGUUCUACAGUGCACAGGGUUCUUUGAAAUCAACUAUUUCAAAAUAAGACACCUACACUUGAAGUGUCUUAAGAAAGAGAAUACAAUCAUACCUACCCAAAUUAAGCUUUGAGCACAUACUAUCAAUAUCCCAUUCCCGACUGCAAUCCCCUUUCUGAUAUUAGGAACUAUGAUCACUUGUUGGAUUUAGGAACCCAAUUGAGCUUGUGUUUACAUUAGGAGGGCAAUGGUGUGAUCACGACCUUCUUGGCCCAACUAGGUAGAGAAAUCCUUUUCAUAAUUCCAGAGGCUUGAAUCCCUUAGUAUGUGAAUUAUACUGCUGAACAUAUCUGAAAUCAUUCAUUUUUGCUCUAACCAACUCUGAUAAUUUUCCUUUAUGUGCCCAUCUCUUCUAUAAUGAGUACAUAGAGGCUUAUGGACCUUGUUUCUAGCAUCAGGAAACAACCUUUCCAUGAGUCCCAGUAGGUUGAGGUUUUCCUUGAUAACUAAGAGCUUUUCCAUUAAUAGCACCUUAAAUAGUUAAGAUAGAAAGAAUUUGUGCGGAUGUAGUCCCAUUUAAGGAUUUAUUAUGCUCUUCUUUUAAAAGGAGAAGGUCCCUUUCUAACUUUUCAUUCUUAUGGAGUGCAGACAUAAGAUGACUAUGAGAUUCCUUCAAGUUCAAUUUGGAAACCUUGAAGAUUCCUUCUUCACCUUACUUUCUAAAUCAUUUUCCUUCUUUUGUUGACUCAUACAAACCAGAUUUUCAGAUUUCAAUUUAGAGACCAUUUCCUUAGUCUCAGAUAUCUGAAGGGUUAAAUUAAUCAAUUCAAGCUCUUGAUUCUCUACUUUCUCCUCUAAAUCAUAUUUCUCAAUAGUCAGCUCACAUAUAGAAUCAAUUAACACACUUGCAAGGCUUUUUUAUUUCCUAGAAGUGUAGUUAUCUAGAUUUUCUGUAAUGCUAGAAAGAUUUACCUCUUUUUCUUCUUUAUCUCAUGUGUUUUCCAUGAAUGCAAAUAGAGAAUCAUAUAUAAAUAUACUAUCUUUCACUGCUAGCAUAGACACUUCUCAAGACUUCUCAUCUUUAUCAAAUUCACUAGAAGAAUAUCCUCAUACCGCUAGAGCUUGCUUUACAACAUAAUUAGUUGCAGCCAUCCUUCUUAAACUUUCAGGGACUAGGUCUCUGUUCUUUCAUUUGUCACCUUCAGUCUUAAGAUACUCCUGAUCAUCCAAUGUAUGCAUUGGACAGUCCUUAGUAAAAUGCUCAUGACUUUUAUAUUUGUGACAUACUUCAACAUUGAUUCCUCCUUUGCUGUUUCUUCCUCUUCUUUGAAACUGACCACUUUUCCUCAUAACUUUGAUAAUCAUUUUUGCUAAUUAGGCACCAUCAGUUUCCUCUUCUGCUGAAUAAUGUUUUAAAGUCUUCAAUGAUAGGGAUUUUUUCCCUUUUUUCUUCAUUCUUCUCCAGCCCUUGCUCUUCUUAAGAUCGUGGUUUUAAGAUUUCCAAUUAGUUCAUCCAUAGUGAGGGUUUUCAAAUUAUUGCCUCAGUUAUAGAAUCCACUUUGCUUACCCAGGACAUAGAAAGAACACCAAGAAUCUUCCUUAAUUGUUCAGACGAAGGAAUCACUUCUCCCAAGCAGUGAAGCUUAUUCAUGAUAGAAGGGAAUCUUGUAUGCAUUUCUCGAAUCAUUUCUCCUUAUUUCAUGGUGAAUAUUUCAUACUGAGUAGUUAGCAUGUCUACUUUAGAAUCCUUUACAUUAGUAGUACCUUCAUGAGAAGUUCUCAAGCAAUCCUAGAUCACCUUGACAUUUUCACAGGAUGAGAUCCUGUUAUAUUUAUCAGGUCUAAUACCACACACUAGCAGUUUCCUUGCCUUAUAGUUCUUUUCAACUUUCUCUAUAUCUUUAUCAUUGAACUCCUUCUUGCUUUUGACAAUCACUUUUGUAACUUCUCCUUCUUUGACUUCUCUAAUAGGAACAUGAAUACCAUCAAGAAUUAUGCACAUCAUCUGACUAUUCUCAAUCAUAAUAAAGUCAAACAUCCUCAUUUUUCAGCACCCAUAGUAUUACCCAUUAAAUCUAGGUGUCCUAGUGGUAGAUUGUCCUUCUUCUAGGUAAGGUGGACCAGUCAUGCUAAUCAAAUCACUCUAGGUGUGAACCUUUUAGUAUGUUCGACCUAGGAUAUAAAUUGUUGAAACCUUUGGGGUUGGACCAUACAAUGAGAGAUCUGGUCCCUCAAAAUCGAUCGCAGGGAAAAACACAGUAAUUCAACCAAAAACAAAGGACAGUGCAGGAAAUAUAAAGAACACCAGAUAUAACAUGGAAACCUCCUUGAUCAAGGGAGGAAAAACUAUGGCUUGCCCUCACAAGCUCCUCAAAAGUUUACUAUAAUAAACCUCUUGAUUACAGACUCAAACUAGAAUGUAACUUUUGGUUCCUCCUGCUUGUAAUAACUCUACUACAAGCUCAACUUGACAACUUUAUCAAGACACCUCAACACUGGUUAACUCUAACCAGUUUUAAGCUUAGGCAACUCUACCUAAAGCACUCCUAAAAUAAGAAAAAAAGAUUAUUACUCUUAUAAAAUGAGUAAUUCAUUUACAUACUCAAGAUGAACUCAAGAACUCUCUCUAUUUUAGCACACAUAAAACAUAAGAACAUGAGCAAUAUUGUAUAUUAGGUUUUUACUUCUUUCACUCUUCAACUUUUCGUAUUUGCGAAAACUCAUUGAUAGAGAAGCAUUAUUUUCCUUUUAUAGUUGAGUGAUGUUUAGGGUUAAAGUGCAAUUGAACCAGGUAUCCUAAAUAGUACAAGCAACACCUGCGCAGUUUGUUAUACAAGGGGACAAAACUGUACAGGUGUGUCAGCUGUGUUGUAGCAUUGAACAUCAAGGGAUCUGUCCCUUGUAGUCAUCUGCUCAUUAUCAAAACAAGACACAGCAAAAUCAAAUGCAUAUUGUGCUAUCUAAAAAUGACUACCAAUAUAGGCUUAUUUUACUUAAACAAUUACAUCCUGAUCUUGUUGGUUUUGUUGAUGCAGGGUAUUUGUCUGAUUCACACAAAGCUCGAUCUCACAUAUGCUAUGUAUUCAUGAAGAAAUAUGAGAGUGUGUUUUGUUGAGUUCUAUGAUAUAUCUCAUUCAAGAAAAAAGUGGUUUGCAAUGUGAAAAACUAACCACGAGUUUACAUGAAUAUAAUGCAACAUAGCACAAUUCAAUGGAGGAUUCAUAAAAUGAGAUAUAACAAAGAACAUUUUUCCAAAACUUUUUACACACAUAAACUCCAAAAGAAUGGCAAUAUGAAUGUACAACAGAUUCAUUUUAGUGAUAAUAUGAAUGAUUAUUCAUCAAGUAUUAACUAACUAAAACUUUCGAGAAGGUGGAGAUUUUCUUGUAAGAUUUUAAUGAGGCAGAUGAAAUACGUAUUAUUAGAGAUGUGUACUCUCUUUUCCUUUACGGGAUAAUUUUUUAAUAAAUUUUUCUAGUAAGACUUUAACGAGGCACAUUAUCCAUCAAAUAGACAUUCAAGGGGGUGUUUUAUACAUCUAAUUUGAUUUGGAAUAAAUGUCUACCCUAAUUUUAUUUGGAUUGAAUGUCUAUUGCUUAGGAGAAAAGGAUCAAUUUAAUUCUCUCCUAUAAAUAGAGGCGUCCUCUUCAUUGUAAUUCCUCUUCAUUGUAAUUUAUCCCUUAAGAGAAAUAAGAAUUAAUCCCUCUUCUCUCCCUUAUUAUUUCUUGUCUUUUCUGUAUUAGUUAAUAACAAAUGUAAUGUUAUCAUAAAUACAACUUUUUAACAAUUUUAAAAGUUUUAAUGUAGGAAGUUAGAUUUUUCAGCUUUACAAAAAUGAUGUAUAUAUUUGUAAUUAUUGACAGAUAUUUGAUAUGACUGUCAGAUUUAAUUUUUAAGAAAAUCAAUGCAUCAAAAAAAUUCAUGUAAAAUUCAUUUUAUACUUCAUUUCUUGAUCAUUAAAAUUUUCCCUUCCACAAAUUUAUCACUAAUGAUUUUCAUCUUUUAAAAUAAAAUAUUAAGAAUUGAUAAUCAAAUAAACAACAAUGCUGGAAAUACAGAUCAAAAAUAAUAAGCUUUCGUUGAAUUUUUAUACACUAAUAUUUGACAGUAACCCAGUCUCCUUGUUUAUAAUCUUAUUCCAACCAUCUGCAGUAACAUAGUGAAUUUCAUUUUACCUCCCUAACAUUUAUGAUAUGGGAAUGAUACCCCUUCCAUAUAUUGAAAAGAAUGAAAAACCCCUUAUGCAAUAUUUUUUGGUGAGAUUCUUUUCUGAAAUAAAAAUCUUUUUUCUCUCUGAGAUUAAAUUAUGAAACCAUAUAGCUUUUGUUAUUAUCCUAUUUAAUUUCUAUUGAAUAAUAUUUUUCUUUUAGGAUAUAAAGUUGCUUGGAAUAAUGUAUUAAUAAAUUUCAAGCUUUGUGAACAGACUCACGAUAACUGAAAAUUAAGUGUCCUUGAGUAUGCAUAAAUUCUAAAUAAAAAUUGUGUUAAUAAAUAUGGGAGCAUACCCUUGAGUUUGCACGUAGUAUGUUGGUUGAUUAACAGACCAAAUCAUGAUGGAUUGUAUAAUUUUUAAAAUCAAUUUCUCUCUGAUAAUUUAGGACAUCUUCGUUUUGAAACAAUUAAAUGUACAUGGUCGUGAAUUUUGAGUCCUUGCUAGAAAUUUUUGCAUUCCUAGCAUUGCUUUGGAGUUCAAAAAUUUUAAAAAAAAAAAAUUAGGAAGAAAAAGACUACAUAAAUAGCAAAAUAGUAGCAAUAUCUUGAAAUAUUUUAGUUAUUGGGGAGGAUCUCAAAAUGAUUAGAGAAUUUUACCCCUUUUGUAUAAACUGAAAUUUAGGAAGCAUCAAAGUGUAUAUUUCCAUAAAUGAUAUCUUGAAAGAGAGAGAGAGACAAGGGGAGGGGGGAUGAUCUUGGUAGCAUUGUGUGCUUCCUUGUUAGAAGUUGAGGGACGAAAAUUGAGCAACUAUGCACCAAAGAGUCUAAAAAUCUAGGAUUUUCAGGUUUUGCUUUAUGUUUUGAUUGUAAAACUCUUGUUGGAUGAGCCAAUGAUCAAGAGUCGGAGUCUGAAUGUUUGGAUUGUAUUGCACAUAAGACUUUGAUGAUAACAUGAUUGAAGUUGUUUAUUUUUAGAGAAGUUUUGUAAGUCUCCAUACGAAAGCUAAUUUUCUAUCUUGUUGGAUUCUUUGAAGAAUAGGAGGAUCAAUAACCUUUGAUAAAAGUUCAAUAUGUUUUUAAUUCUCCACCAUAGUUGAUCAUGUUGGACAAUCAUGGAAAGCACAAGGAAACUAUUAGAAUUGAUAAAUAGAAACAUGAGUGCAUUUUGUUGUUCUUGAAAGUAAAGUUAAGCCAUUUUCGGAUAUUUAUAUGGCUAGUAGUCUAAUCUUUGAUCAAGAACAGUGUUGAGUGUGUGUUUUUCUUCAACCUGCAUUUAGUUUCAGAGAACUCCAAAUAUUACAUUAUAUUAUUUUUAAGAGAAUGACAUGAAAUUAAUCGGCACAAAUUUGAAGACUGCUUCUCUUUUUACAAAACUCGUUUUCAAUGUUGUAUUUUUACGUGCAUGAUGUUAUCAUUUGAUUUCAUCAAAAAAUAAAUUAAUAAAUAAUAUUUUCAGAACUUAAAUUUUCUAUUUUUAUGAGUCUAUCCACAAAUCAUGACAUUCAUAUUUAAUUAUUCCAAGUAAUUAUAUCUUUAAAGAAAAAUAUUCCCUUUGUCCUAGUUUAUGUGGCCUAUUUCGCUUUUCGCAAUUCAAACAUGGCUAUGUUUUACUGUAAUCUUUCAUGUAUAUUUCAAGUAUUUUAAUAGUCAAUUAUUGUAAAUCAUAUUACUUUUUAUUUAAUAUUCAAAUAUAUAAAUUUUAUUUCAAAAAGAAUGAAGAUUUCCUCCAAAUUCAUGGGCGAACUUACAUUGUUUAAAUCUUAGAAAAUGAAAUAUGUCACAUAAAUUGGGAUAGGCAAAGUAUUAUUUUGAAUAAAAUAUAAAUGAAAUGAUAGUAAAAUUUAUAUAUUUUAAUACUAUAAAGAAAAAAGAUCUUUUUUGAGAAAAAAAAUUCACUGAAAAAUAUUAUAUAAAGGAACUAUUGUUCCCUUUCACUAUGUGGAGGGGAUAUUGUUUCACAAACCAUAAAUAUUAGGGGGUAAAGUGGGAUUAACUCACAACGGUAGCAAACUUUUAAAAGGAUAAAUAAAGUAAUUGUGAAAGUAAAGUAUAAAUAUUCAAAUAAUUGAAGUAACAAAAAAAUGUGCAAAACAAAAUUGAAAACCGAGAGAAAAAUGACAGGCUAAAGUCAUUUCAUAAUAAGAACAUGUAAUUAGGUUGAAAACUAUCUACACUAUCAAUUUUAUUCUAAAAAUAAAACUUCCCUCCCAACUUUGAAAAAUAGCCAUUCUCCCCCACGCCCCCCCCACUCCCACCCCCUCCUUCCCUUUUUCCUAAUUAACUUUUUUAAAUGCAUAUUCUACCGUUACAUUGUAUACCUUUUUUGUCUCUGUAUAUGCUAGUGUCUUAAAUUUAUAGAUAUUUUUAAAAAAAAAUUAUUCUUCUUUAUGUUUGUAACAUUAGUUUGACACUUUCUAAGAACAUCUAAAAUACCAAUGUAAAAUAAGGUAUCUGAAAUUUAAAGGAGAACAUAUUUUUUCGUUAAUAUAUUUUUAAAAAAAAUCAAACAAAUGUUUGUAUGAAAAUUCUUUUAAUUUCUGUUUUACUAAAUGCUUGUAUGAAAUUCUUUUAAUUUCUGUUUUACUAAUUCUUUUGAGAUUAUAGUCUCUGAUCUAAAGUGACUUUAUCAUAUAUAAUUUAAAACUUAAUCCACCAUUAAGUGAAAUCUUAAUUUUUUUUGGUUUCUCAUCCGGUGUCCGCUGCCCACAUUGGAGCCCCGAAUAAUUUAGAUCGCGCGUUGCAGGGCUCAUUAAGGUGGCGGUGUUCCCAACAGAGUUUUAUCCAUACUCAGGGUCGAACUCUCGACCUCUGGCUAAGGGUGGAGCAGCCCCAUCCACUGCACCAUAACCCAUGUUUGUAAAAUCUUGUUAGUAACUCAUGUUUGCGAGAGCAUAUGACAUAAAAUUAUAAGAGCAGAUUAGAAUAUAAACUUUAUGUUUAACCUACUUAUAAAAAUUUAAAAAUAACAAAUAAUUAAAUAUAAAUAAUAUCGAUAAAUAAUAAACAAUAUUAUACAAACAAUAUUAAUUCAAUAACUAAAUAAUAGUAUUACUUCCUACCUAUAUAUAAUAAAUUCUUAAGAAAAAAAAUAAUUUGGAACAAAUUUAGUAACAUUUCUACACACUCGUGUGUGUGUAUAUAUAGAUAUAGAUAUAGAUAUAGAUAUAGGUAUAGGUAUAGGUAUAGGGAUAUAGCUAUAGGUAUAGAUAUAGAUAUAGAUAUAGAUAUAGAUAUAGAUAUGUAUGAUUAAGUGUGUACUAUCAUCAUUUUUAGUGGCAUGUGAAACUCCUCAAAGCUCUUAAAAUUUACCAAAAUGCAUGUGAACUACAAAGUCACAAGAACUUUAAUUGGAGAUACAAAAGACAAAAAAAUUCUAUGUAAGGACUACCAAAAGUGGGUAUUUCCUCUUAUAUAUUGUAGUAAUAUAUAUAUAUAUAUAUAAAGUUUCUAUUAAAAUAUUAAUAUCAUCCGAAAAAGAAAAGUGAGACAAGAAAGUACUCUAUUUUUACCCUAUAACAAUCUCCACACCCGCAUAGAUUUGAUCGCAGAUGCAGUAAAUCUUCUGCGACAAUGGAAGUCACUAUUCACACGCCCUUCAUAGAAUCGGUCCAUAUCCCACACGGACGAGCUUGCAGGCAUGACAAACCAACGUAGUUAAGGCUCCACCGGUGAGAACGAGAGUCCACAAGAGUAAGAAGUCUGUACCUAGCUUAACUUUAUUGGUGAGAUCCAUGACUGUAGGAGCGGGUCUACAAGAGUGACCUCCAGACAACAGAGUGACCCUACUGGUGAGGCCAAGGUUUGCAGGUAACGUUUUAACCUCAUAUCAUCAACCCACUUACAGCAACAAUGCAACAUAUCAAACUCAAACUUAACCCUCAAAACUCACCCACAGCACCGUGCAUAAAGUAAAUAUGCUACCCAACUAAAAAUGAUACUUUGGACUCAAUAGAAUUGUCAAAUCACUGAAAAGAGUUUGUUUGAAUCAAAUUUUAACCAAAGUCAAACCUAUGCCUUAAACUUUUAAUUUUUCAACCAACUACUCAAAUCCAAAUACCUCGAGACCUGAACCAAAGGUUCUAUAUUUCAAAAAUCACAUUUAAGAGCUAAAGAACUAUUAAAAUUCUCAUACGACCUCAUAUCAUUAAAUAUAGAUUUAAGUCAAACAUAAUAACUUUCAAUGCAUCCAAAAUAAAAAACUUGCAUACUUUCAAUUGACCAUCUUGAAAACUAUUCCACCCACACCAUCAGAUCAUAAGUACCAUAAAGCAAUUAAAUGGAGGGAUGGAAUACUUAAAGUGCAUAUAAAAAUCACUAUGAGCAUUGUUACAAUAGUACACAUAUGCAUACAUAUAUACUUUCACAACCCCAACCCAUCUGGAGUGGCACCUGCGUUAAUUCUUCGAUGGGAGAAUCACCUAACCUAAAUUACUCACUGCCAACACUAAGAUAAAACUAAGAGAAACUAGACAUUUCAUAAAGUAAUUCAAUGUUUUGAAAAGUCUAACAAUAAAAAGAAAUUGUAGAGAACUCUAAACCCCCUGACCCCCUCGAGAAUUGAAAAUCAUUAUGCCAAAAUAAUAAAAUUAUCAAUAAAAUCUAAAUAGAGAGAACAUAUUUGUAUCCAAAAUAAAUGCACAAGAACUAGUAGAGGACUCAUGGAUACCCGAAUGAUGUAGAUCACCCUUGAUUCGAAAUGUGGUCUGCUCUAAAGCUGAGGUCUUAAUGCAAUUGUUGAGAAUGCUCUGCACUCACCAAAAAUAAGAGCUAGUAUAAUAUCAGUACACAAAAAGCCACAGUGUAUUUGUAGGGUCACCAUUCAACCCAAACUAAUAAAUGUAAAUAAAUAACCAUAGCGUAGUAAACAAAAAAAACCAUGAAUACUUACCAAAUAACUUUAUCUCAGUUGUGUGACACUUAGCCUUUUUCGAACGACACCACAAAAUUCAGUCAAGUGCAAGUCAAUAUAGACAACAAGACAAGUCAAAACCAUGACUACCAUCAUGAACCAAGUCAACAAACCAUGACUUAACAAUAAUGUUACACAUUACCUCAAAUAUAUUAUUUGUAAGUAGACAACAAAAGAAGAUAUGUCAAUCAAUGGAAAUUCAAAUAGUACCACUAAAAUGUCUAAUUCAUUAAUAGUAAAAAAUGUAAAUAACCAUAGUGCUCGGUUUACUCAAGAAAUCAUCACAUUCAUCAAUACCUUGUACAUACGUUCUAAGGAUCUUAUGGUCACCCACUAGCCAUGACCUGCAGGGGAUAAAAUCUUCUCCAUAUAUACAUCAAGUGUCUACCAAUCUUAUAUCAAUUUACAUCCCAUAAUAAUAAACAUAUAUCUUGUGAAGAUGUCAAACUACUAAUAUAUCCCACAAUAAUUAACAUAUAUCACGAUACUUACAACCACAACGAGAAUAAGCAACCAUACUUGUAUAAUCAACAAGUUCUUCAUAUAACCUUAUUACAUAUUGUUAACAUUUAGGAUAUAUGAUUUACUUACUUUGAGAAUACAUUGUAACAAGUAUAUGAAGAGAUAGUUAACAUGCACAUUAAUGAGUGGCAAUUUACCACUCAUUUAUAUCUCAGUUCUUGUACACUAGGGUGAUUAAAUUGAUGAUAUAAGACUAAUUCUCCAACUAAAUGCACUAAUUUCUAGUGUGUAACUUUACAGGUAAAUUUGAUAAAAAGGGAAUAAAGUCAAAGCUGGAAAAGAGGAAACAUGAGCAAAGCUAGACAAAAGCUGAAGACAGGUCUCAGGAGCAGACUCAGAUGUCACUAUCCCAAUCUGAGAUGCUGCAAUCAAAAUUUUUUAGUGCAAAAAAAUAUGUCUCCAUCAUGAGAAGAUUCAUCAUGAUCGCAAACUGAUCCAUGCUUGUAAAAUAGCUAUGAUCAUGAGUCGAUGCCCCGCGAUUGCUAGAGUUUAUGCAGAGAAGAUAUCACAAUCGUGAUAAAUAGGAUGUGAUUGUGAGUGUCGCAAAAAUUCAGGGGCAGUCUUGUAAAUUCAAUUAGGUCAGUUCCAAAAAAAAGGCUAAAUCCCUAUCAUUUUCCAAUAUCUAGUUUUUAGUUUUUGAGAGCUAAGAAUACCAAUUUGAGUGAUAAACAAUUUGUGAAUGAUUUCUAAGAGAGAUUUUAGCUAUUUUAUUUGAUUUAAAGCUUGGACUAUAUUUUAUUUUCCUUCCAUGGAUGAAUUGAAUGAUAAUUUUGGUAUGAAUCUUUCUUUUAUUUUCAUGAGUAGCAAAACGUAUUUCAUGGAGUUAUGCUUUGAUUAGGUGGUGAUUAAUGAAUGAGUUUUGAUUAUUUAUCCAUUUAAUUAGUUGUUUAUGAUGGGUUUUUCUUUUGUUCGAAAUUUAAUUAAGAAAUAGGGGUUUCAAAUCUAGAUUAACUUUGAACCCAUAUCAUCUUUAAAAGAAGAGAUAUGGGUGAGGAAUAAUUGUGAACAAUAACUUGGGUUAGCUCAUUUGAUAGAAUCUCUUAAAAAUAAGGAUGGUAAUUGAGGCCACAGAUUGAUGAAUUUUCUACACUUGUGAGGUGUUUCAAAGAACCUACUUGUGAGAUAUGGUGUUUUUGUUGAAAUAUUAGCACCAAUACCCUUUAAUAUAACCUACCCAAUACUUAUAACCAAACUUGGAUAAAUUAUUGAUAACCCAUGCAUGACUCCCACCCAUGAUUGCGUAACCCCAAGAUUUCUCCCCAUUUGAAUUCACUCUUUGAUAUUUUAAUCUUAUAAUAGUGUUAAAUCAUUGUUGUUACAAAACUACUCAAACCAACCAACCCCCCCAAUUUAAUUUUAUAUGUUGUUUAAUUUUGCACUAUGAGUUAGCAUCUAGUUAACUACCAAUACUCAUAGGUCCUUAAUUCUACGUCUUUACUCCUCGUGGAUUCAACCCUGACUCUUUAUCAGGUAAAUAUAUUAAUGAUGAUUACUUUAAACAUAAUUUCAAGUGUAAUUUUAAGUGUUAUCAAAAAUGUUUUUAUUAUUGGGGAGUGAAACAUAGUUUUCACUUUUGUAGUGUUGCUAGUGACCUUGGGUUAGCCGUAGAGAUUUAGUUUUCAUUAUUUUUUAUUUUUGUGUUUUAUAAGGUGAAAAUCGUAGCAUACACGAUACCAUGAGCCAACACAAUAGUAAUGACGGGCCUUUUGAUGGGCUUAAGUAGAUGGAUCAUCUUGGAGAUGCAGGAUGAGCUAGUGUUAUUCGCAUUUCACCGGUGAAAAAUAGUGUGUUUCACAUUUCUAGUGUGAUGAUUCACUUACUUCAAAUAAAAGGGUUAUUUGGAGGCCAAGUUCAUAAGGAUUCUAAUCUACACUUGAAUAAUUUUACUGAUGUGUGCGCUACAUAUGACAUAGCCCAUAUUUCUCAAGAAUCCAUAUGAUUACAAAUUUUCCCAUUCUCUUUGAUGAGAGAAGUGGGUUUCUAGUUGUGAUCUUUGACCAUGGGACAUAUUACUUCAUGGGUAGAGCUAAUGAAACAUUUGUGGAAAGGUACUUUCCUCCUUCUCAAAUGUUGAAACUAAGGCCUGAAAUCACUAUCUUUUGCCAAAUUAUUGGCAAGCCAUUGUAUAAAGUUUGGCAAUGUUUGAAUGAUAAUUUCUUGCAAUUCCUAAAUCAUGAGGUUCCAGAUAAAAUGCUUUUUCAAAUUUUCUAUAGGGAAUUAGAUCAAUUGAACAAAAUGGUGGUUGAUAAUGCGGUUGGGGAUUCUUUUAUUAAGUUGUGGUGUUACGAUGAUUUAGUUAGAUCAAGUGAAAAAACAGAAUAAAAGAUGGCAUACGAGGGACAUCAAAGUAGUCAUCGGUCCACUGCAACAUCUUUUGUAAGCAAAGAACAAAAGAAAAAGGAUGAGGAAAGGGAUGAGAAUAUGGCCAAGUUGAUGAUCCAACUUUAAACACCCUGGUUUUUGGACCUUAAAAAAUUUCCUAGAAUUUUGGUUUGUGGACCCAAUAUAUGAAUCAUGGGUACGAGCCAUAUGUUGGGGUACAAAUGAUAUGAAACAGUCAUAUAUAGACCGGUGUUGGUUGGUAGGAUGGAUUUUAGUCAGUGGAAUAGGUAUGACUUGGUGGUACGAGGCAUAUGGUUGGAAACAUAAUGUUUUUUCUUUCAUUUAACCUUAGACUUAGUAACUUAAGUAGGACCUAAGUACGAGUGUCUCACCAGGGGCCGUAAGCCAGGGUACGAGUCAUAACCAGGGCUCGUAUGGUGGACAGUGUUCAAACUUUCUAUGAUUCUAUCUUUCCAGGGAUACGAGUGAAGGGUACGAAUCAUAUAUUGUCAAUAUGACUUGGGUAGAAUGAGUUGUACACUAGACAGUAUUGGAUCCAAGGGUUGAAGAUUAGGAUACGAGUGGUGGGUACCACUCGUAUCGAAGGGUACAACUUGCGAGGGUCAGUCAUACCCCUACAAUGGGAUUUUGUGCAACUUAAGUAGAGGUAUUCUGGAUAGUUUUUCACUUAUCCUAAUAAGGUCACAUGAUUUUCAACUCUCUUGGGAGUCUAUUUACCCUAUUAUUCUAUUCAUUAACACUUAGAAACUCUUCCUAAACACUCUAUAAUUCUCUCAAAAACUUUUGGGCAAGAAAACUAGGGUUUCAACUAGAGAACUAAUUUGGGGAUCUUGUUGAUGGCUUAUCUCCAUCUACUGUGUCAAUUAAGGCAUGUUUCCUUACCUCAUUGUUAGUUCCAACUACAGGUGUGAUUUUAUACAAUGUUUUAAUGAUUUGAAUGUUGUAUGUUUUUGGGUUUUUAACUAUGAUUUGAGGGUUUUUGUUAUAAAUGCUUGGUUAUGGUUUUACCAUGUUUUAAUAAUACUUUUAUAUGCAUUAAUGGUGGUUUUGGAUAAUUGUUUGCAUGGGAAUGAUUCUUUGGUAAUGGACUUAGGUUUUAGAAAUACUAUCCCCCCAAUGUGUUUGAUAAAUUGCCUUUAACAAUGUUUCCACUAUACUAUUGGUUUUAUUUUACCGAAACUUAUGCAUGGUUUAAACUUGAUAAUAGAACCCUAAAUAGUAUGAAUGGUUUAAAUGGUUUUAAAUGGAUUGGAAAAGCCUUGGUGGCCAUGGUUUUGGUUAAUUGGAAAUCAUGAAGGGUACGUAGAAUCCCUUAAACCUAUAUAUGGUUAGCUAUGGAUAAAACUUGCAAGUUAUUAUUUGUAUGAUGAUACUACUAUUAAUGGCCUUGGUUAAUUAAUGGUUAAUGUAUUGGUUGGUUUCUUAGUACUGGUCUUAAUUGGACAAUAAUGGUGUGGUGUGCAGAAAAGUCGUGAAAGGUAGAGGUCCCAGGGACCAAAAUUGGAAAAUCAUAUUUGCCGAUGUGAGGUUCGAUCUUGGUGACCGCGUGAAUGAUGUCACACUUUAUAAUUGGGGGAUGUACUAGUCCCCUAGGUUUUCUUUCUUAGUCGUACGGCUUCAUUCACUAGGUCCCUUUCAGUAGGGAGAGAUGAACCCAUAUAGCCCUGGGUGGUUUAGGAUGGCGAAGCUACACAGCCUAGGUAAAGAUUUUAAUGGCAUGCUAAACCCAGACCCCUUUCCUGACAUGGUUAUACAUAUAUGUAUGGUUGUGUGCAUAUGGAUGGUUUUACAUGUUUUUAUAAAGGCAUUAUUUUAUCCUUAUCCUGAGUUCAUGCUAGCGAUCACUCGCUAACCCAUCUUUGGCUAGCUAUAUACCAACGCUAUGCAAGAAUCGACCAUUCUACUCCUCCUACAUAGUGAUUGACUUGGGGACAACUGUUGGAUUGAAGUGGUGAGCUACCAUCUUUUUGGAAGGUUUCAUUUCAUGUUAUGGAUAUUCUUAGACAUUUUGAUUUAUUUUAAGAUAUUGGUUUUGGCUAUGGUUAGGGGCAUUCCCAAUCGAAUAUUCUUACUUUUUGGUUAGAGAAUUUAUGGUACUGCUAUGGGUUGGAAUGGGUGGGAUUGGUAUUGUUGUCGGCCUUAAUAUUGGCUUUGGAAUUGGGGCAUACAUUAUUGGACAUAAUUUUUAACCAUACCAGCAUAUUUAAUUUUGGGAUUAAUCAUAUUAUGUUUAGGAUCUCAUUUGUUUAUGCCCUAGUUUAUGGCCCUUGUAUUGGUAUUAUUUUGGUUCUGUAUGGUUGGUACGGUUUGGUGUGACAAGAUGACAUGAUAGGGUUGGUCUAGGAAUAGACCUAUCCCAAAGUCAAUCCUUGUCCAGUUAUGCUAUCUUGUUAUAUAUUCGGUACUCAGCUGACUCAAGGUAUGCUAAUGGUGGUUGGGUUGGGUAGCAAGGGGUGGUUCCCAAUCCUGGUUAGACGUGGAAGGCCCGUUAUGAAAAGUCCCCCGGUCGGGUCAGGUCACAACUUGACCUUCUUACCAAAUAUAUGAUGGAGGAUGCUCCUAAGUCGGUCAACACCAUUGAAUCCAAGAGUAAUAAGGCUUAUGAUGAUGAAUAAGAAGAGAAGAUUGAUGAAAAAAAUUAUUUCUUAUCGAAUGAUUUGAGGGGUUCCCACCCUACCUAUCAAAGGUAAAGUGGGAAUCAAGUUUGGAAAGAUCAAGACUGAAAUAGACAUUGGAGAGAUAGCGAUCGUGAUAAAGACCAGUAUUAGAUAGAUAAGGAUAGAUACUAUGACCGGUAUAUACCUCCACAGGAUAUAACCUAGAGUAAAGAGUCAAGCUUCAUUGAUAUGUAGAAGUUCAAAAAUGAAGAUGUUCUUGCUCUUAUCUUGAUGGGUGCUUAGGUGACUGACAAGAUGGUAAGAGAGAUAAAACGUGAUUGUUCAUGGUGAUGCACAAAAAAUGGGUAAAAAAUCAAUUGUUCCAUUAUCAUAAAUCAAAAUUCCUCCUUCAUUCCCACAAAGGCUCAAGAAGAAAGAUUAUAAUACCAAGUUCAAGAAGAGUCUUACCAAAUUUAGUAAUUCAUCGAUGAAUAUUUCUUUGCUAGAAGCCUUACAAGAGAUACUGGUAUGCUAAAAUUUUAUGAAGAACUUGAUCUCAAAGACGCAACUUGUGGAAUGUGAAACUAUUGAGGUAACUCAUAAUUGUAGCGUUAUAAUGUCAAACACAAUGGCGGUGAAGAAAGAGAACCCAGGUACAUUCACCAUUCCUUGCAUUAUCGAGGUAUAUAAAUUUUGAAAAGCAUUGUGUCUUGGAGCAAAUAUUAACUUAAUGUCGUAUGUUGUAUUUUAAAAUUUGGGUUUGGUGAUCCUAUGACCACCACUAUGAGGCUUUUAAUGGUCGAUCGUUCAAUUAAAAAAACUAUUAGCGUGUUGUAUGAUAUGUUGGUGAAAGUUGAUCGAUUUAUUCUCCCGACCAAUUUUAUCAUUCUCAAUUGUGAAGUUGAUCAAGAGAUCCCAGUCAUUCUUGGUAGGCCAUUCCUAGCCACCAGAAGAGCCAUAGUUGACAUGGAAUAUGGUGAGAUGAAAUUCUGGUAAACAGUGAAGAGGUCUUCCUCAGUGUGUAAGACUAAGAAGCAAUCAAUGGACUUGCAAUUGGUAUCGACGAUUGAUGUAAUAGAUGAUAAAGUGAACAACACCAUAGAAGUGUAUCUUGGGAGUGGACCCUUAGUGGGUGAGUUAAAAUACUCGAGAAGUGAGCCGAGUGAAAAGAAGGACAAAGUGUUGUAUUUGACAAUGAGAUGUAGUUUUUAUGAUAGAAGCACUUGUGAAAAGUCAAAGGUUAAAAUGCUUAUUGGUGUCAUUGGGUUCCCUAAGUGUGGUUCAACUAAACCCAAACAUAAAGAAGCCAUAUAAAGUUAAGAAAUUUACCCGAGAGCUCUAUGAGAGUAGUCAUGUAUUUCUUUGCAAUCAUAAGUAGAAGGACAUUAUGGAAAAUGCUAAGCGGUCGGGCCCAUUCAUGGUCUCAAAUGUCUAUUCAAAUGAAGAAAUUGAGUUAGAGGACAAUUAGAAGAAGAGGAUCGUGGUGAGUAGUCUAGGACUGAUGUAUUACCAUGUGGGGGGACUCAAAGUAGAUGAGGUUGGGUUUCUUCAAUUUAAAGAUCCAAAGUGAGAAUGAAUGGACGUUGUACCGUGAUGUUAGUUCAAGCGCUAGGUGGGAGGCAACCCAUUAUAGCCAUAAAUUUAUCCCGUAUCCUUUGAACUUUGAUUGUGAAAAUAGGUUAGGACAUUUAGUUUUUGAUUAAUCGAUAAAUUCUUACCACUUUGAAGGUGACAUGAGCAGGGGGGCAAAAAGUAUAUUAGAAUUGAGUUUGGAGAUGAAAUAAAGAAAUAAAGCAGGGGAACUGAGGAGUCUCAAUUACUACAAUCAUAAUGUGUAGAUCAUGAUUACAGUAAGGAAUAUCAGAAUUUCUUGUGCAUUCCUCGACUCAUGUGAUUGUCGUAAAGAGGCUUCAAUCACGAUAUCUCAUGUCAGGAGAAUAUCACAAUGUGAUCUAAGCAUUUAUAAAUAGCCUUAACAGUCUCAAAACUACUUCCAAAUCUCCCUCCCCCAACUUUUAAAUACCUAAAAUCACUCUAUUUGCAUCAUUUUUAAAUGGUUCUCAAUGGAUAUUCAUCUAUAUCUACACGUUAACAACAAGUCUGCCCUUUCAAUCCCCUCUUUGAAUGUGUAAAUUGAUCCUUAGUAGCAUUCUUAGGACCAAACCUUGGGUUUGCAGUUUUUUUUCCAUAAUUAGUGCUUGAAAUUGCUUUAUUUUGUGUGGUUAGCUUUUUUUAUUGGUGUGUGCAUCUAAAAUACCCUAAAUAUUUUUCCUUGAAAUUUUCUUGAAUUAUGGGCUUACUGUGUAUAUCAUGACUCAACCUACGAGUGUAGGGUGUCAUUACGAGUCACAGGACCCUAAGUUGUAAGGUGCCCAAUGUGUUUUCCAAAUAUGUUGUUUCAACUAUGACUUGCAUCUUACGAGAUGGUAAGUUAUGAUACAAGUAGUAUAGCCCAAAUCGUAGGGCAACCAGUAUUUUAUGCCAAAGCUUUCGCUAAUAUUACGACGCGGACCUUACCAGUCGUAAGUUCCCUUAACGAGUCAUAUGGUAUGACUUAUAACUAGACUAGUAUGGGUGCCCAUGGGGUACUGUCCAUCCUAUGACGAUAUGUCACGAGUCGUAGGGUAACCAUACAAGUCGUAAGGUCACUCACAUCGAUUGGGCGAUAAAUUUUAGUCAUUUUACUAAGGGUAUUCUAUAUAUUUUCCUCUUUCAUGACAUAAAACCUCUUUAGGGUAUCAUUAUCACUCCAAAAGAAAAUCAAAAUAACUUCUUAAACUAUCUCAAAUUCUCCCAAGCAAGAACAUUAGGGCUUCCAAGAGGUUGGUCAAUCAGAGCUUCCAAGGGAAAAAUCUGUCCAUAACUCUUGAUGUUUCAGGCAUGUGACUCUACCCUUAAAUCUGUUUUACUUAAAGCAUGAAAUUAUAUGAUUAUGUGGAUUUGAGCAUGGGUUUUGAUAAGGGUUGAGGGUUUUGGAAUGAAUGUUUCUUAAUCUAUUUUACUAUGAUUUAUCAUGCAUUGUUCAUGCUUUAUAUAUGGUUUUAAACUUGUGGGUGAAUGGGCAUGGUGAAUAAAGUAGGGAAUUGUGAUUUCCUCAAAUUUUAUGAAUAUUGACAAUUGAAUUUGUAAUAACCCCCAACCUAAUAUUGUGAAAGUGGUUUUGAGUAUGACUAUAAUUUCAUUGAAUUACUUUUGGAACAAUUGCAUGGGAUAAAGGGGUUAUUGAAACAUGAUAUUUUGAUUUAAUGAAGAAAAGAAGCCGGUGUUCCCCCACCUUCAACUCUUUUUUGUGACUUAAGAAUGAGGGAAAAUGACUAGCAAUUUGGCCUUAUAAAGUCCCUAAUUUUGGCCAUCCACUUAGCUGAUUUUUUACUACAAAUUUAAUCAAAUUGGUCCAAGUAGAUGAUGCACCUACUUAAAGAGUUCAUUAAUGAACAAAGGGAGUUGUUUUUACUAAUUUAAUGAAAAUUAUAAUGACAUGAUGAUGUUACCUUGAAAGUAUAGCUGGUAUGACUGUACCAAGUGUAUGCCUUAAAGUGAAUUGUGUUUUAAUGAAUGGGAAUGUCUACAAAGUGUUUCAAUUGGGAUUAACAAAGGGAUAUGUAGCCCAGCCGUGAAAGUGGAGGUAUCGGGGACCAAUACUGGAAAUCGUACUUGCCAAUACAGGGUAUAAAUAAUUAGGGUUCGAGUCCCUCUUAAUAUAUCAUUAGGUGGUUUGAGUCCCUCUUAAUAUAUCAUUGGGUGGUUCGAGUCUCCUAUGUUAAAUAACUAGGUGCUUAAGUUACCUUUGAUAUAUUCCAGGAGGUUUGAGUCCCCUAUGGUGCAUAUUUACAUAUGAUUAUCCUCUAGUUCGUGUAGCUACACGCACCGGGGCCUUUUCAUCUAUGUGAGAGUUGAACCGUAUAGCCCAUGGGUGCCUUAUUAUAAUGGUUAUGCUAAACAUCCCAGUUAAGAUUUUAAAAAAUACAUGAUAAUCCUUUUUGUCUAUCCCAGUAUUUUAUAUAAGUGUGUGUAUAUAUAUAUAUAUAUGCAUACAUGUAUGUGAACAUAUACACUGGCGGUAAUUAUCAACUUUCUAUCACCUUUUAAACCUCAAUUAUCAUGUUUUUUCAUUAAUUUGUUGUAAAUUUCUAACUUAAUUUUCAUUUGUGUAGGUAAAAGUUGAAAUGGGAAGAUGAUUAAGGAAAUUUGAUAAAAAUGAGCUGAGGAAUAGGUGAAAGAUAAGAAAUGUGAGCAAGAACUACAAAAGCUAAAAUGCAAUCCAAAACUCGACCCUUAAUUACCGCAAUUACAGCCUAAUGGUUGCAAUCGCGAUCAACAAUCAAGUCACCAAUGGUGAUCACGAGAUAAUCAUCGUGAUCGUGAUAUCACGAUCGUAGUUAAGAGAUGGUGAUCACAGUAUGGCGGAACAAGUUUAAGGGUAAAACUGUAAUUUGCUUAAAGAGACCAAGGGAAAGGUGGCAUUUUUGUAGUAAUUGGAAAAUGUGGAAUUGGGGCUUAAAUAGGGGUAUAUUUUAUCUCAUUUCCAUAAUCUUGAACAUAUAUCUUAAUUCUAAUUUUUAGUUUUUGACAUUAAGGAGAGAGUCGUACGUAAAAAAUCCAUAGGAGAAUUUAGUUAAAGAUUGAAAUUGAAGCUUUGGUUUACUCUACUUAAAUUUCAAUGAAAGAAUUGAAUGCAAAUAUGGGUAAUCUUUUGCUUCUCUUUAAAUCAAUGCAUAGAUAAAUUUUAUCUUGGGGUUAUGUUUGAGUAGGAUGCUAGUAUGUGUGAGUUUUUAUUGUUAGUUCCAAUUGAUUGGUAAUGAUGUUGGGUUUCACUAAUACUUGAUUGUUUGAGUUAAAAGUUGUGGGUGAAAACCCCAACUAUCUCGAAUCACACAUCAUCCUUGAAAGGAAUAUGAUAAUAUGUAUUUGUGAACAAUGAAAUUGAUUGUAGGUUAUUCCUUAACAUUAUCUUAGAAAUAAGGUUGGUAUGUGAAUAUGCUAUAUCUUAAGCAUCAUCCUAGAAAAAGGGAUGCUUAAUUGAGGUUUUGGGUUGAUUAUUUUGCCAUACCCAUGAGGUAUUUGAAAGAAUCCAUGGGGGAUAUUUUGGUGUUUUGUUGAAAGACUAACACUAAAACCUCUAACCUAGCCUACUCAUAUAUCCAUUAACUAAAAUAGGAACUUACUUGCAUGUACCCAUACACUAAUUACACCUAGGAAAGUAUAACCCCAAGAAUCUUCGUUUUUGGUUUUAUCCAUAUGUUGUUUGCUCUAUAUUUAGUGUUAUUGAUUUCUUUUAUUUAAACAAGUUAGAUUUAAAACCCCAAAAUACUUGUAUCUUAGGUUCAAACUUAUAAAUAUUUUUUAUGACUUUCUUUUAUUUCUUGUGUUAGGUAGAUUUUUGUUUUUGUUUAUAUGUUACUAUGGCAUCUUAGAAUGAAUAUGAGUUUGGUUGUUUCAAAUCUUAUCUUGAUGAUCCAUGUCCAUGGAUUCCACUUUUGAAAAAAUUAUAAAUAUGCUCCCCGUAAAGAGGUGUGUGCACCUUAUUGAUCCUAUUGGAAGUAUGAUUGUUCUUUAUGUCGUGGUCGAUAUGGACAUUGGAGUGAUUGUCCAAAUGCCCCCUCCCUUAAUUAUGCUAACAAAAAUGCUAGUUCUUCUUAUGAGUUUGAUAGGUCUCAUAAUGUGAUAAAGGAAGAACAACGUGUUGGAUAAAAUAAUGUUGAAAAAAUGCUUCUAACUCUCUUGGAUCGGGUGACUACAAUGGAUAAGAACAUUCAUCACUUGCAUCAAUCCGUAGCAGCAUUUGAAACAAAAAGUGAAAAAAAAAAAUUGGUGAGAAGGUCAAUCUUUCAAGUUCCAUGGAUAUACCCAAUCUUCAAAAUGAGGUUGAUAAGGAAAAGAUAUCAAGUCAUGUGGUUGACGGUGGAUUGUUAUGGAAUAAGUCUUGGUGAUUUUCCGACCAACCGAAUUAAAAAUAAUGAAGGAUACCAAAAUUGAAGAACCGACACUUGAGAUGAAAGAAAAAUCUAAGAAAAUCAUUUGUAAAGAAUCUAGUUCAUUCUGGGGUAAGAAUGUCAAGAAGAAUGUGACUCUAGAAUUGGGAAGAUGACCUCAUUCCAACCACUUUUCGAUAUUAUUCUUGGUGAAUGUGAUAAAAGUCGAACUACCCGAACAAAUGAUCAACGUUGGAGAUGAGGAGCACGAUUCUUACAUUUUGGAGUUUUUCAUUCCAAAAGGGUAAAAUGACUUCCCUCACUUGAAUUUUGAUAAGUGCAAAAUCAAAUUUUGACAAGUGAUUUUUCGAUGUUGUCACCAAUACCCAACGACCCUAUUCGGAAGUUUCAGUGACUUGGGGUGAUAGUGGCACGUCGCGCCAAGGAUAAAAAUUGAGAAAUUUUCACAAGAAUUAAAAUACGCUUCCAAGGGUUAAAAGGGUCAAUUUUUCACCCUUAUUUAAACCCAAUAACACGUGAUUCAGCCAUUUUUUCACCCAAAACAUAGUAUUUAUCUCAAGUUUCUCUCAAGAACAAGCUAGGAUUUUCAAUUGGGGAUUCUAAUCCAAUCCUUAAAUUCAAGAGUCUCUCCGUCAAUCUUUUCUAAAUCAAGAACUAAGGUAUGUCAUGUGUUGAUUCAUGGGUCUCUUUUACCCAUGAAUCUCAAGAAUUUAUUUUCAAAAUCCAAGAUUUGUAUAUUUAUGAAUGUUCAUGAUUUGAUUGAAUUAAAAAUUGAUGUUUAUGUUGUUAUUUGGUUUCGUUCCAUGUUAUAGACUAUUAAUUACAAGAAUUGAUUCUAAUAUGUGAUGAAUUAUGCAAUAUUCAUGAUAAACCCUUCAAUUUACAAGUUGAUUGAUGUAUCCAUGAUUAUUAGAUGUGUUGAUGAUUGUAUAACCAAAGCAUGCUCCCCAUAUGUUUGAUUAAAUGCCUAUAUGAAGGAAGAGUGUCAUACUAGUAUGAUAAUGUGAAAUCCUCAUUUAUAUACAAGUUCAUGCAUGUCAAGUGUUUGAUGAAAUGUGUUAGUCAAUGGAUUAUGGAUAUAUAUGUAGCCAUUGUUGUGAUUUAGAAUUCAUGCCAUGAAUUACUUUUAUGUUAUUGAGUCCUGGGGGUACUUGUACCCGACAAUUGAGCUAUGUGCCUAGAGCCAGUGUCAUGUUUUCACGAUACUCUCAGUCAAGCCAUGAUCCCUAGAACUCAGUUAGUCAAGUAACUCAGGAAAACUCAGUGAAUUCAGUAUCAAUCCAGUAAUCUCAGAAAUUCCAGUAAAUCUCAGUAAUCCAGUAAUCUCAGAAAUUUCAGACAGUUAUCAGAUCUCAGUUGCAUUUUAUCAGUCCACAAAAUUUAAUGAACUCAGUCUAGUCCAGUUUAGUUACUCAUGUUCAGUGUUUAUUCAAAUGGGAGUAGGAAUUAGCACCGAGUAAACCCAAGGAUAGGAACUCACCUGUUAUAUAAGGGUAUGAUUCUUAGAAGCAAUACUUGCAUUCCAGAACUACAUGCCAGUGUAGGUUGAGACAUCACAUCCUAUUAUAUAAGGGCAGAUAAGGUGGCUUAACCUGUUAUAUGAGGGUUACUCACAGAUUGUCCUUACCAGUGGCGCGGUAUUGACAACCUUCCAAUUGGGGUUACAGAUUGGACCCCAACUCAGCCAUAAUGGCGUAUUAGGGACAUGUCGAUUAGAUGACUACUUCCCACAGUUGUAGUUACAGUCUCAGUUUCAGUAAUAGAACUCAAAUAGUUCUUCUAAUUUUAGGACUGUCAGAUACAGUCAACCCAGUUCAGUACGAAACCCAGCUAGUUCCAUCAGAAAUAGGACUUUCAAACACAGUUAUUCAGAUAAUAGUAUAUCAGUUAUACAAAACUUAUGUUAUCAGUAUUCAGUUUCUGGACUGUCAGAUACAGUCAAUCAGACUAGUUCUUCAUAAUCAGAACUAUCAGAAAUAGUCUUUCCUUUAUCAGUAAUAUAACAUCAAUCUCUCAGUCUUCAGUAGACUCAGUCAUCAGUGUUAGUAAACUCGGAUGUCAGUAAAUUAGUACUCAGAACCCCGUACCAGUGUUAGUAUGGUCAUAGUUACAGUUACUUGUUCAUGCAUGUAUUCUCAUAUUCAUGUUACAUAGUUAUUUAGUAUGUUCAUGCAUAUGACCCCAUGCAUUCGACCUACCUCACAUGCAUACUAGUACAUUCAAUCGCACUGACUCAUUUGCACUAUAGUGUUUUACGUUUAGAAGCACGAGCUAUAGAGCAUCAGUAGCAUUCUAGUUUUAACAGUUAGAGUCAACAGUGAGUCCUCAUCCUUCGAUGACGUGAUCAUUAUUUUAUUAUUUCAUUAUUAGUUUAUUUUAUUAGUCAAAGUUAGUUGGGCACAUGUCCUAUCAACUCCUUAUUCAGACAGUUUAGAGGCUUUCAAACUACAACAUGCUUUUAGACAGAUUAUUUUAGUUUUGGGUAUUGUGAUACCCCAUUGCAAACAUUACUUUAUAUUCAGUUUUAGUUCAGUUUUGAACCUUAUGGCCUUACAUCGUACAUUUCACAUAUUUACAAUAUAUUAUUCAGUGCUCAAUAAAAUAUAUCAGUCAUGAGUUAGCUUGUGGUCCUUCAGGGUCAUGAGCAUCAUAUAACAUUUCGGAUACCAAAUUCGGGGCGUUACAAAAGUUGGAUAAAAGGUUCAAGUCUUCAAAGUAGUGACAUAGAAUGCCCUUAUUCAAAGUAGUGACAUAGAAUGCCCCUUACUUUUACCCUAAGUACCUUGAAGAUGUGAUGAUCAAAAGUUGGGUAAAAGAUUCAAAUCUUCUAAAUGGAGACAUAAAUAUUAGUCAAAAGAUGUCAAGUCGCGAUUGUUUUGCGAAAAUUUUGACUUUUAAAAAAAUCGCCACUUAAUUUUGAAUAGGCAUUAAGAAACCUUUAUAAAGUACUUAGAUGAUUCAAAACAAGAAAAUCGUUUAAGUUAGAGAUUCUGACUAAGCAGUUCCUAUUAACGUUUUAGGAAGAUGUUAGGCACCUAAAAUGUCCACUAACAUACGGUUAACCGGAUUGUUUUAAAACAUCUUUUGACUAACUUUAAAAAAAGAUUAAUUUGUUGAAAAGUGAUAUAUUUUUAAAAAAAAAGGACUUGUGUAAAAUAAAUUUAGGCGACUUAGUAGAGAUUUUAACUAAGUAUAAACAAAACUAAUAAGAAAAUAAACACAUAAAAGGGGAAAGGGAGGAGAAAGUAAAAGAUUUAGGUCAUUGGGCUCAAAUCAACGAAACCUGUCCUAGUCUAACUUGGCUUUCAACCCAUUUCACCUGUCCAAAUCUAGUUUUCGGGCCUUUUUGGCCCAAAAUCCACUCCGACUGUAUUAAAUUUACAACUUUGACUUCGAGACCCAAAUGAAUAAAUAAUAGAAUGAAGAAAUAAAUAAAUAAUAAUAAAAAGACAACAACAGAUGAAUAAAUGAAUAUAAGAAAUGAGACUUUCGAGUCUCUUUACCACUUCAAGGAUGAAACUUCAGCCCAUUCUUCUUCUUUCGACUCCUUAUAUCCACAAUUCAUGAGAUUGUCUUUUAAUCUUUGAGAAUGACUCAGGAGCAAUGGGCCUCAGUGGCCUAUAUAGAUAAUGCAAAUAUGGGGAAAAAGUCCAUUUAGGACCCAAAGACAUUCACAUGCAAGGAAAAGAAAAUAAAGAAAUUAAUGUAGGCUCCAAAUGUUAACAUCUAAAAAAAAAGACAUGGAAAGAGAAUAUUUCUUUUAUUUGCUUUUAACUGAAACUUAUUCAAGGAGACUAAUUAAUGCAUGCAAAUGUAUUCAAGAGAAACCAACUACUAUUCGAAUAUUUGAUGCUCCUAUUAUUGGAUAAUUUAACAGAAGGCUAAAAAUCUAAAUGCCAACAGUUGAAAAAUUGGUAAAAUAACAUUUUCACAACUAUGUUAUGUCUUCAUGAGGAUUCCAAAUAGAAAGUUUACCGAGUCUAGGAAUAAAAAGGGGGAAAGAUACGAAUAUAUACUUUCAGCGAACCAAUUUACCAACAUGAUUAUAGUAUUACAUGCUUACAUAUAUAGAACGUAUAUUUAGUAUAAAACAGUAUGCAUUGUACAUAUUUUGUAAGCCCAAAAAGUUACAGGUCCUCAUUUUGACAAUAAGUUCACACUGGUUGAUGGCUAGAUUUUCUUUCAUUUUCAAAUAAACUAGUUCACUCAUCCAGUAAGUUAAGUAAGCAAAAAAUGAUUAGGUCAUGUAGAUACUAUGUUUUAUUUAGGAAUAUUAUCCUGAAAAAUAUAUUUCAAUAUAAGUUAUUACAAUUUUCCAAAUGGAAUUGAAUUCCAAAAUUUAGAAUUAUCCACCAAGGAAACAAAUAUUUCAAACAUUCUUUAUCAACGUAAUCAAUAAAUUAAAAAAAUACAACUUAUCGUCAACAUUCAAAACGACUAAUCUGCUAAUUCAUUAAACAAGCUAAAAUAUCCCUCUUAUGCAGAAUGCCUUAUGAAACCAUUAAGAAUUUUAGGCUAUAACCUUACCCUUAUCUUCCCUUCGACCGACUCAAAAUGAAUUUUCAAGAAUCAAAAUAAAGAUCUUUGAGGACUCAUGAGACUAUCGAUCUCAUCAUGGACAUUCACGCAUUAUUUCCACCGACUUUUAAAGGUCAAGAGGAUUUAAGGAGCAGCCCGCCUCAGAUCAAUAUAGUCAAUUAAACCGGUAUUAAUAACUUCGCACUAAGCGUGAGGUUAAGAGAAAACAAGGAACACAAAUUAGAAGAGAAUGACACGCUAGAACAUUGAGACUAGAUAGGAAUAUUCAGCUAGAAUAUGGCAAAUCAGUCCAUGACAAAUGAAAUACAAAAUUCCACUAUUUGUGGCAUCCAACAACUACACAGCAGUUGGAAACUAGAAAGCAGAUAACAGAAUCAGAAGAUAUCAAAGUUGACAACUUUAAGGUUGAAAACAACUAAGUACCCACCUCAUGCACUUUAUAAGAUCAAUCACAACAUGCAUUAAGAGAAAAAUAUCAGUUAGAGUUGCACACAAUCGAGAUACGAACAUACUAUAUCAGAUUUAAUAGUCCAAGAGCUAUAUGCAGCCGCACAAAGCAUGGAUUACUCUUCACUUCCUCGAAUACAUUAUAUGAUUCACAAAUUGAUAGUGAAACACUUAAGUAACAAAUUAACGUCUCAUCGCAUAAGCUCAUACAAGAAAACAUAUAGCGCAGUGUGUCUUAAUAUACCCAAUAUGUUGUUUAAACUGUCAUAAGGAUUACCCUAUCCUUCAGAAAUAGGAAAACUUGUGUGAAAUUAAGAAGUAUUUACAGGCAAGAAGUAACCAUCUUUUAAUUAUCUAGAAUAAAAUACAAGCGACAAGGAUAUGCAGAAAUGUCUAAGAACUAAAAAAAACAUCUUUUAGUUUAUCCGAAUACAGAAAGGAAUAAAUUUUCAGGUAUUGGAGCAGUGCAUAAAUCAUAGCAUAUAGUCACCUAAAGAUUCAAACAUAAAGCAGCUUAAAGAAAUGUCCGCAUUUAUUCCAAACAGAACUACGAACAUUAAAGCAUGAAUCAUACCAAUAUUUACAACAACAUACUACAACAUAUCCCCCUCAGGCCGAUAAAUAAUAAAGCAAAGCAACUCUUUUAAUCUUCAUCAAAACCAAAUUGAAAACUAGACAGUAUUCACGUUAUUGGUUCAUGCUAAAGAAUUGCAGAUAACCAGCAUCACCAUCGAUCAUGAGACAUUAAUCAAUGUAGUCGAUAGCGAAACUCACAACGUACAUACUAAUUCAGCAAAAAAAAUAAUUAUAAAUAAUCCUAAGGCCAUCACGGCCAUCUAUAGCAAACAAAUCCCAACCUCAUUCAUGAUUUACUACUAAACAGACAACUAAUUCUAUGGAGAAAGGGGGAUGGAGCAGAAAAUGGUGGAAUUGAAAGGGGUGAGAGUGUGUUUACCUCUUUUGGGGUAGCAAAACAGAAUCUCGAGCUGACGUUUGACUCCACUAUCACCAGAAAUUAGUCCUUCGAGAGUUCCGACCGAAUCAACGACUAAAAAUUUUGAGAAAAAUCUACUGAGUUUUGCCCAAACUCCUUUUUCCCCCUCUUCAGACUCUUUUUUUUUACCCCCUUUGUGCUCUAAAGAGGGCUACUUAUAGAAGAAUGAAAGAAUCCCAUCCCCUUGGAGAUCACCGAUGCAGAAAAAAUUCUAAUAGGGGUAAUUUUGGGAUUUUAAAAUGGAGAUAUUUUGAAAUUUGAAAUUGGAAUCCUUCUACAGCUUGGAUUUUUCAUCCACAACCAGUGUAAAUUUUGGAUUUUUUUUUCAUGAAAUCCAAAAUUGGCCAACAAAUAGAAUUUAAGGGAUGCAAUUUUCCUCACGAACCAAUGAGAAUCGGGCAAGUAUGUACGAUUUCGUACCAUUCAUCCCAAAAUUCUCGGCAUCUAGCCAUUAGGGGCGACACCUAGGUGCUUCUAGAAAAUUCUUGGACUUUCCUCAUACCCAAUAUCGUGUGAUGCAUAAAAAGUGAAAAUGAGCGAUUUGGGAUCAACUUCGGGUUGGGUUUUUAUUUGAAGCUGGUUCGGGUUUCACUGGUUGUUGAUCUGGGUAUGGGAGACGGGUUGUUGAUGGUUUGUCAGUAUGGUUGCUGGUGGAUUCGGGUCGAGUUUGGAUCUUUGGGGUUGUUGAGAUCCUUCAUGCAUUGGUGUUGAUCGAUGUUGAAAUUAUUGGAAUUGUAUACUUGGAGCUGUUGUACUAGUUUGCUGAAGAAGAUAGAAGAGAUAGGUGGGCCGAGUCGGUGGCUUUGGACAGGGCUAAUAUGUAGUUGUAAAAAAUAGGCUUGUAACCUCUUAAUCAUGAACUUGAAACUCUUCACAUUCAUACAUAAGAAUUUACCUGGACAUAAUUUUCAAAACUCUAGGUGUUCUAUCACUUCAAUUUGAAAGAAAGAGAAGGUAAUCCUCGGCAUAAAUUUAGAAAUAUCCCGAAGACAAAGAUGAAACCUGAAUUUCCCAAAAUACUCAUAUGCCUUCUAAAAGGGAUGUGGUUGGAUGAUGGUGGUGAUCAUCCUUUAGUUGAAGUGUUAAAUUUCGUUAGUAAUAAGUAAAACAAGAUGAUAAGGUAGGAAGUAAACACAUAGAUUUGUUUGUUAUCUCAUGCUAAUUGAUCCAUGAAGUAAUGAUGACUCGAGACUUUUAAUGAACAGGAUUUUUCUCAAUGAUAUGGAUAGGUGAAAUUUUUCAGGAAAGUUCAACUCUUUUUCUUCCUUUAAGAAAGUGGAGGACAAUAGAGUUUUUU